rnacentral:lncRNA from 1 species
CACCACCAUCUUCGUUGCUAGCCAACACCGAUCGGCACCUCUUUCGGCGUUGGUUUCAGCGCCAAUCAUGGUAGAGUUUUUUUUUGCUUCUGGUGUUGGUUUUUUUUUUUUUUUGGCUUUCUCCUUCUCUUCCCUCUCCCUUUUCCUCUCCUCCUUCCUCCUCACUCCCUCUCCUCCUCCCCUUCCCUACUCUUUCACUCGCAGCCUCUCUCCUUCCCAUCCCUCCCCCGUCAUCCUCCCUUACCCUUUUCGUCGUGCAAUUUGGAGAGAGAUGGCAAGUGAGAGAGGAGGGGGAGAAGGAAGGGGAGGAGGAGAGGAAAAAGAAGAGGGAGAAGAGAAAGAAAGAGAGAAAAAAAAAAAAAAGCCUGCUGCUAUCGGCGCCAAUUGCCGGCAGAGGUUCUGGAGUCAGUGAUCGGCGAGUGGUGAGGUGAGGGAGGAGAGGAAAGAAAAGGAAAAAAAAAGAAAAAAAGUUUUACAUUAAAAUUUUUUUUUAAACAAAUUAUAGAGUAAGUUACAUUAAAAUUUUAGACAAACACCAAAAAAUUUAUUUGCCAAACAGAGCAUUAUUUUUAUUAUUUGACAAUGAUAAAAGUGAUACAUAAAAGUUUUCUUAUAAAAGAUAGUGAGUUGCGGUCCUAGAAAUUGCUGGUUCCAGUUUUUCCAACCGAACUUUGGUUGGAAAGAAUUAAAUAGAUGACAGUUCUUGGGCCUGCCUAACACCCAUGGCCCAGAUGAGAGUCAAAUGGUGGCCCUCUUACAAUUUUCCAGCUGUGAAAUGGUUUUGAAUGAAAUAUCCAUGGACCAAGGCAAUCAGCAAGUGGCCCCAACUGCAUUCAUUUGCAUUCAGCAUUUCACCUUUUUGGAAUUAGGGAAGUGGGCCUGGAAAUUAAUAAUAGCAAACCUGAUGCUCAUAUGUCCAUGUCAAAAUUAAUCCAAUUUUCUAGCAGGACUUUUAUAAAAUUUAAAAUGCUUCAAAUUUUUUAUGUUUUACCACCAAAAACCGAGGCAGCAUUGCAGCAAGGGUUUAUUUAGAGUAAAUACGUCAAUUGACAGUGUAUAUAUUAUGACGUUUGGAUGCAUGAUAUAUAUUUAAAAUUUACAUUCUAAGUUUAAAUUUAUAUUAGGUAUUAAUGUAUAUACUAUGAGUGUAUAAAAGAUUAAUUCUUGUUUUUAAUACUACUCUAGUUAAUUUAUUCGAUAUUAUAAUUUAGACUACAUUAACAUAAGAGAACUAUUUUAAAGUAGAGGAGUACUAAUUUGCAACAUAAUCCCCUUUAUCCUUCUUAAUAAAAUAAAAUAGGACUGGCAUUCCCACCCCGUGGACGGGGUUUUUGCCACAAAGAAAAAAAAAAUCCCCUGUAUCCUUCGUAAUAAAGAUCACCAUACUUUUGUGUUUCACUGGAUAAAAUUAGGUUACCAUCUAAUUUUUUUUCUUGAUCUUCAAUUGAUUAUCUAGGCUAGUUUUUUAUUCAAUCGACAUCUAACUAGACUCGUUGAAUUAGCUAACAACUUUUAAAUUUAUGAGUUGUUAACUGUCUUUCAUGAAAACAUUUAGUAAUUUGCUUGAGACUUUUAAGUAUACCUGGCAAUUGGGCGAGUUGGCCGGGUUUUGGGCGGGUUAAUAUUGAGUUUUUACUUAAAUGGGUUAUACCCAACUCGCCCAACUUUAGAUUUAAUUUUGGGUUGGGUCAUAUUGGGUCAUCUCAAACCCAUGACCCAAUAUAUUAAUUAAUAGAUUUUGAUACACAAAUUCUCUCAGAUACAUUUUUGCAUACAAAAAAAUUUUUUCACACGCUAAAACACUUUCACGGAUACAAAUAAACACUCACUUCUUAAGUUUUAAAAAAUACACCGUUUUUACACACUAAUAUACUUUUACAAACACACACACGUACUAACUGCUUAAAGUUUAAAUUAUUUGGAUGAACUCAUUGGUUUUUAUACAAGUUAGGAUUUUCAAAUUGGAUAGUGGAUAUAGUUUUGGUCCAAACUAAGAGACCGAAGCAACAAUUUUUGUUCAAAUUGAAUAUAGCAUGAAAAAAUGGUAUACCAAUAUGAAGCAAUGCAAGUUCAAGAUCUCAUUUUUAGGACUUUCUUCUUCAACUUGUUUAAAUUUAGUUAAAUAUGCAAUGUUCCAAUUCCAAUUAUAGUCAGUCCUAGUUGUGUGUGUGUGUGUGUGUAUAUAUAUAUUCAUGGUGAUUGGUGACCAACCGAAGAAUCGUUGAACCAAUGCAACCAAUUCUCGUAGUACAAUAUUUACUUGCAUAUCUUACACCAGAAAUAUGCAUUUUUAGGAUAUUGCGACUGGAAGAAUAGAAAUGCAAAAGGGGAAGCAAAAAUGAACCCAAAGUGGGAUUGAAAUUUUGUUUCUGUUGAUUGAAAACGUUGUUAGCAAGGUGGGGAAGCUUGUGGUGGUGGAGGUUUAUCCGCUGGAAACAUAUAUUCGCUACUUGCUGGUCUUUUCUUGCUCCUUAAUUUUAAUUUGUUUAAUUAUUUUUUAACUUAAGUUGGGUAAUGAGUACCCAACAUAAAUACCCAAACCGCCCAAAAUAUAUGUGGGUUUUUAUUACCCAACCCAAAACUGACACAACACCCAAUUUACCCAACCCAACCUCUCAAAUUAGUGGUUGGAUGGAUUGUUGGGUUUUGGGCAUAACUGCUAGGUCUACUUUUAAGUAAUUUUAGUUAUUUAAUAGCUCUAAUUUACCAUCUAACCUUAUAUUAAUUGAAAAUACAAAGUAGAAGCAAAUUGAGUUUCAAUUUUAUAGUACCUCUGAUGACAAUUAAAAGGGUGUUAAACAUUAAAGUUGAUUUUUUGAGACUAAUGAAGAGCAAUUAGUUUGUCAUUUACUACUCUUACUUUCUUAUAAAGUCUAGAAUUAUCUUUUGAUUUACUGAUGUCAUUUAGUUGUUAGUUGGUAUUAAUUACGAGGGGUACACAUAUAAUUGUAUCUGAUGUGGGCAAGACAAUAAGAGAAGUUGUUUUCUUGUUGAAUGCAGUUCAUUCUUAGUUAUAUUUUUCAGAGUUUAUUACUGGUUCUGGGCUGGUGUAUUCUGUCAUACGCCCUUUUUCUACAAAAGGGUUAUGAGCGUUCAAUAGUAAAAUGAGAAAUCAAAAGAAACAUAACUAAAUGUAAUCUUCAACCUGUUUAUUUUAUUGUUGGAAAGUGAAAUGAAUUGGAAAAAUCAAGUGUAAGAACAUUACUUCCCAAGGAGGCUGUGCGAUCAAGCAUCCCAAGCAAGCAAUCGACUUUUUAAAUGUUGAAAGCCGUCCAUGUCCAUAAUAACACACCAGAUGAAGCAAAGCACAUAUACUUUACUAACACAGUUAAGUUUUGCCAUGUGAAUUAUGGUACAUGUUUAUAUAGGUGCAUGUAUAUGGGCAUAGCAUUAUUUUUCAAGUAGCCAAAAAUGGAUCUUGAAUUGGGACUUAAGCUUAGAAGAGUUGCAGAUGAAUUUUGCUUAGCUGAUUUUCAAUUUUACAAGGAUCGUACUGGUCCUGUUUUCAUUUCUACAGAAACAGAUAGUAAGUUCUUCCUCACUGCCCAUCUCAAAGGUAUGCUCAUUCUUCCUCAUUUGCAUCUCUUUUUUUCUUCAGGAUGUUGAAUUUAAGAGAAUUAGUCUUGAGCCUAAUCCUCAUUAUUUAUUUCGACUAGACUAAUAAGGUCUCGUCUGCACAUUUUGACAUUUUCACUUGGUGAUUUUGGAUUGUAUCAUUAUGUUAAAAUAUGUUUUGAAAAUUUCAGGGCAUAGGAAACAGAAUAUUAAGAUUGAGAUCAAUGAGGACGGGACUCGAAUAAUAAUAAGUGGUGAAAUGGAAAUUCAGGAGACUGUAAUGGUGGAAUGGAGAUUGUACAGAAAAGAAACAGAAAUUAGGAGAUUCAGGAAGGCUUUCAAGAUCCCUGAUGGGGUGAUCUUGGAUAAAAUCAAAGCAAAGUAUAAUGCGGAUGAAUGCAUAUUGACUAUUUCAAUGCCGAAGAAAGAUAAGGGAAUUCGAGGGUUCGACAUUGAGGAGGUGCAGGAACAGGAGCUUGCUAGAGAGGGGUCAGAAACUUUGGAGAUAGUGCCUGAUGAGGUCCCUAAACAAGAAGAUGAGAUGCAAGAAAAAGAUCAAGAAGCAGAGGCAGAACAUGCCGAGGGAAGUGGCUUAGCAGAAGAAGAAUAUUCAGAAGUUCCUGAAAUUGCAACCAGUGAAGAACCUAAAGAAGCUGGCUUCGAUGUUGCACCGCCUGAAGAAACUCAGGCGGCGGAGGUUCAUGAUAUGAAGAAAGAGGAAAUGAAAGAACAUCAACUAGACCAGAAUGAAAGGCUGAAGAAGCCGUCAGAAGAUCAUGAAGGAACAGUUGAGGAAGCGAAAAGUUCUCCAGAUGUAGCGAAUGGAGAAGGAAGUGGUAAAUCCCCUGCAAGCCAUCUCGCCACGGGCGAAACAUCUCAAAGGGAAAGUGUGAUGCAGGCGCAAGAGUUGGAAAAGGAAGAAAAAAGCCAAGGUAUUGAAGGAGAUAUGGAAAGAAAACAUGAACAGCCUGAGCCUUUGACUGAAGUCAUCGACCAAAAUCACCAUAAACGUGAUCAAGUUGAUGGAAAAGAAAGUGGCACUCAAGAAGCAGAAGAAGAAGAAGAAUCCGCUUUAGUUAAACCUCCUGAUGAGGUUCAAGAAGAUAGGCCAUCAAGGAUUGAGAAGCACAGGGGAAGAUGCAAAAUGUGUGCUCCUAUUCUUGCAGGAUCUGCCUUACUAUUGUCCCUUGUAGUGUUUGUCAUUCAAUUCAUAAGAAAAAAAAGCCAUCAAGGGAAAAGGAAAGAAUAGCCAACACCAUUGUAGCAAUUAUAUACUCUGCGCAGCAACUAUAUAGAACGAUAGCUUUGUCAUAGGAGCUGACAGGUUAAAUUCCACUUAAUCCUGAAAACCAUUUACACAUACAUUUGUUGAUGAUGGAACGCUAGGGAUUAAAUACCUUAUCCAAGCAAUAAAGUGUCUAUUAAAUCGUCAUGCAGUCCCAUGGGAUUAUUGAGCAUUGACAUAGUCUUCAAGUUCUUGAGUUUUGAUUUGCUCAUUGACCUCAUUAUUCUUGAUCCAUCCAGGCUUUUUUAUGUUGAUGGAUUCUAAUUCAAUUAAUUCCAGCAUUCCCUGUUUCUUAUCUCUAUGUGGUUACCUGAGCAAGUGUUCUCUCUCUUCCAUACGUCUGUAAUUAUAUGUUUCAUUGCUAUCCAAUCAUUUGUGUGCUUUCUUGCUGUCACUAGCUAACCAAGAGUCAAAUACUCGGUGAAAAGCACUCAAAAGAAGAAGAUAAGUUAAGACGAAACCUAUAAAAAUGACAAUGAAGCAAUGGAUUGGUGGCCAAAGCUAAAGAUUAAAGAACAAAGUGCUAAUGAUUCUAAAGUAGGGUCAAAAGAUAGCAAUAUUACAUGGUAUGAUUAUCGCCCUUAAAGCUACUUUAAAUUUAAAGCUACAGUUCCCACUGCAUUUAAGCCCAACUCAUUUUUUUCCCUUUUGAAUUUACAUUCUCACCAUCAUUCUCUCACUCAGUGCCUUUCUUAAUUUCAUAGCAGCAUCAGUAAAAUGAUACAGCACAAAGCUCUUGGAACUGCUAGUACCCUAACCACCUGCAUUAUCAUCAAGCAAAAGGGUUUCAAUCAGGAAAACAAUCAUAAAGCUGCAAAAUGCAAUGAUCAUGAAGUCACCAAAAAGGAAAAAAAAAAUCUCAAAAAUCUCACUUUAGUGUAAUUUGGCAUGCAAGAGACAAAAAUUAACCUACUUAUAAUUAUAAUGUUUGAUCUCCCAUUAUUCAUCACAUCUAAAAUCACGAAAUUGGUCACAUUUAAAAUUUUUCUUUUGCCAGGUGAACUAUGAUGCACAGACUAAACAUCAAAAUACAGAUUGAAGAAGGUUAUGAAGAUUUAUGGAUUUCUUCUUCUCUCUAUCUUUUUUUUUAAAAAAAAAUUUCUUUAUCUUUCUCUCCUUUGUGGUCUACUUAAGGAUAUCAGAAUGAGAUGAAUUGCACGUGAAGUGUCCUUUUGGGCAAAAUUCUUUCUGCACAUCUAAAAGUUGACACCAUUUGGCAGUUUGAAUCCAAUACUUUGCCUGAAAUAUUGCAUCCCUAAGUUUUUGUUUUCUCCUUCAUGUUUAUUUUUGCGCACAAUGGCAGAAAUACAUAGAAACUCUAAAGCAAUUGGUCACAUAAGCUGCAGGGGUGACACUGGGACUUACAUUCAGAGCAUGGUAAAUCUAUAAAUCACCAGAUGAAAACUGUUUAACAAGUCGACUAACUGGUCAAAACUGGGUACAUCCAGUCUUCAAAGAUCCGGUCUACUCAGGUGUGCAAUUUAUUAGUCUUUCAAAUGCCAAUCAUGUAACUUCCAUUCCAAUUUUCUUUUCCCAAAUCAUGACAAGAAUUUAAUUAAUACUAGAAACAAUUGAUCCAAAGUUUACAGACAUUAAUAUGCUGAAUAAGUAAACUUCACAGGUAUGCCUCAACUAGCUUAUUCCUGCUUAACAAUUUAAACCAACCGAAACAAGAUUUUGUACUUACCGACUAUUCAUUAGAAAAAAUAGCACUGCCACUAUGCGAUGAAUAUGCAACUACGCAAACUAAAGGGCUUCUUUACCUUUCUUUCGUAACUUCCAGAAACGGGGAAAGGCCGAAUUGUAGCAGUAUCGACUUCGCCAGUCGGUAGGGGUACAGCAGGAUUGCUAUUGAUAAACGGAAUUCCACUUUUAUCAGGCACCAUGGGGCUGGUGGCAGGAAACAUUUCACUUGGUGCAGGACUAGGUGAAGUGACAUCUCUAGGCCUAAAAGGCCAAGGAAAUGCUGGAGAAGACGCCACGAAGCCACCAGAACUUCGGGGUGGCGCCGCCAUUGGGGACAGAUCAGGUGGUGAUGAGGCCUGAUUUACAGGCGGGGCUGACAAAGUGACCUGAACAGCAAAUUUUUGGCCUUCUUGACAUGCUUUGUUAGAACCAUUGUUGAAUGAGAAGUAGAAGAAACCUUUUCUUGAAGGGUGCCACUAAAUUUCACAAGAAAACAAGAAAAUUGUUAGUAAUAUUUUACAUCCAUUCUUGAAUAAAACAUGCACAGUAAGAAAAUUUACUGACAAACUCGUUUCAUGGGUUCACUUUUUAGUGAGUAAACCACUAUUUAAAAAAAAAAAAAAAAGAAGAUGGUAAUAAUAAGCAAGUAAUAGAGCUAGUUUGCAUCCAUUCUUGAAUUAGACGCUCAUGCCAGAAAAGUUACCAUCAAAUUGAAAACGUGGUGCCAUUUUUUAGUUAGUAGCAGUACAUUUCUUUAAGAAGAUGGAAUUAGUAAUCAGCAAAGUACAUGGAGAAUAUCGGUCCAGCUUAUAACUAAAUUACAGUAAUACACCCCGUUUAUUUCUCCAAGAACUCUAAAGUAACAUCUUGCACGAAAAUACACACACAUGCAGAAGGAAAGAGAGAAUUACUGUGUAAGAAGUGGAAUUGGAUUUGGUGAGAAGAGUGGCUUGCUUGAAGUUGCAGAGACUGAAGGCUUCAUGAUUCUGGAAAAUGUAGAGGUUGUAGUGAUACUUGUGCUGAAAAACUGAAAAUCAAGAAAGACAGACACCAAAGUUAAUUUAAUUUCGUGACAAUGUUAUAUAUAUUAUGAUACUGGUAAAUAAACAAUUAAUUAGAGUUUCUGAAGGAGGGAUCAUGUGAUGACUGCUUAGUACUUACUGACAGAGUCUCCAAUUUGAACAGUAGGAUUUCUCCAUUCUGAGACACCAUCAACUACAACUGUUGCCUGUUGAGCAAUUUGGAAAUGUAGAAUCACAAAAACAAGACUGAAGAAAAAUCCCAUCAUGGAUGGAGCUCCCAUUUAGCUCUUACUAUAUUCUUGUCUUUGUGAAUCAAGAAAAUGGUCUGUUAGAAAAAAGUAGCCAGAGAAGUGUGUGUUUGUGCAGGUGCAGUAUCACUAUGUGUUGUGUGCGUGUGCUUGCUGGUGGACUGUGAAGUGGGGUGGAGGGGUUUUAAAGAGUUGUCAGCGGUGUUUGGCUUUUCACGGGAAGAGUUUGAAUGGUGGGCACAAUGUGGUACUGUGACAUUGUAGAAUGUGUAGCAUAUGAUAAUAGCAAUUAGAGUCAUGUUUUUUACAGUAAAAGGUGCAAUGAUUUUGUCUGUGAAUAAAUUUUUUGAAAACAGAAUGCAAAGAACAGUGGGAUUAUGUGUGUGAAAUUUUGGGUGGUUGUGAUGAGUGAUGAUGGGGAUUAUUAUUCUAAAAUGAUUAGGUUUGUGAUUAUCAAUCUGCAAGAAAUAAUCUCUUAUGUGCAACUUUAAUACUACUGUUAUGAUUGUUAUAUACUUUUGCUUUUUUGGGGUUUGUUGGGGAUUCCAAUCUUUUCUUUCUUUAUUGACUCACUGGACAUUCCUUUUGAGGUUUUGUUAAUCUUCAAUAUAUUUUUUCCUUUAUGCAACGUCCUAAGAUUCUCUUAUGCUAACGCUUGAAGGAAUAAAAUCUAUGAAGAAGCAUUCCAAGAAUUAUACAAAUUAAGUAUAAUACCCAAAGAAACAUCUCUAGAGACAAACUUCGGGCAGACAAGACAAGGUUUCUACUGCCAUUACUUCAUCCAUGAUUUUGUUUGCCACUGGGAUCAUGUUUUAUAUUUACCCGUGACAUAAUCUUAGAUUUCUAGAUCACUAAUAGAUCCAUAUACAAGCUUACGUUUUUUAUUUUUAAAUAAAAUAGGAAAAACAAUAUUAGUGUUACGUACUUUGUUCGAAAUUGUUCAACACUAAGUUCUGUUUAGAAACUCAUCUUUUUCCAAAAAAUUUUUACGUUUUUCGUGAAUAUAUUUCUUAAUCAACUUUUUAUCUUAUAUACGUCAAAUCGCUAUACUGCAUUUUCCUUACAAAAACUUCAAAAAAUAGCAAUUCAUAUGCAAGCUUAAACUUUUAUGUUUGCAAGGAUUCAAGCAACCUAUUGGUAAAUCUCAACCUUUGAAAUUGAGUUUUGUAAUGAGUUUUGCCGAGGUAAAUAUUACGAAUAAAGAUAAGAUUUCGGGUGCACUUCUGGUGCCCGAACAAGAUUAAUAUGGGUAUCAAUGAUUAGAAUUUAGAAAAUUUCUUGACUUCUGUUUACCAAAUGGGAUCUAGUCCCUGUAUGCUCUUGACCACGAAAGGAAAAAGAUUUUUUUUUCUUUUCUUUUUGCUUCUCUUUGUAUAGAUAUUUAAGAUUUUCUAUUGAGCUGAUGAUAUUUUAGUCCAAUCACCAAUUAGAGUAAAUUAUGCGAGUCUCGAGUCUUGUGUAUGGCUAAGGAGACAAACACACAGAUACCGACACUAACCAGGCUGAUCCCACAUCCAAGGACUGUAGAUCCGUCAUACCUUCUGCUUGGAUGUAGAUCCCUCAUACCUUCUGCUUGUAUCUGGUGAUUCUUCAGACGAAUUGUACCACAAUCAGUCAGGGAAUAUCAACAGUUCACUGUUUGAAAUCUUGUCCAGUAAUAGCAGUCUCCCAUCUUAAUAUGCUGCUGCAAAGUUGACAAGUGAUUUCUACUUAAAUCUUGGGUAAAUCUGUUCAGGUAAAACUUUCCUUUUAAUUCAGCUCUAAAAUCGUAGCGGAACUUGUGAGCUGGAAAAUGAGACCCCUUGGAAUCAUGGUUCAAAGUCGCGGUCGCGGCUCGGAUCGUUUCAUAUCUGUCUCGAUAUAUUGGUUGCAGUUUCGGCGAUACAUAAAUUUUUGAAAUAUUUAAUAUUCUAAAAAUUGUAAAAAAAAUAUAAUAAACAAAAAUAAUUAAAAAUUAACAAAAAUAAUAAAAAAUCGAGUUGACUCGAGAUGACUUGGGAUGACUUGGGACAACUCGACUGUUUCUAUCUAUCUCAGAAACGUCUGUGCCGAGUUCUCCAUGAUUCGGCUGAAUUCUCGGCGAUUCAUUAUUUCGAAAUCAUCUCGUUCCGAUAUAGCACCUAGAAGUCCUGUUCCGAUGGCGUCUCGGCCGAGUCAUCUCGAUUUUGGCAUAGUCUUUGAACCAUGCUUGGAAUCCAUCUUCAAGACCAUCUAGAUGAAGAUUCAAUGGUUUUUGGGCCACAAUCCUGCUGAAUGAGUUCAAUGAAAACAACCUAAUUUCAGAUUUCACAAGCGAGCAGCAAAAUCAGAAGUGCAAUACCCUUUAUCUCCUCGGGUAAGCUGUCCAAUUAAGAAAAUGAAAAAACCCCUUAGGUAAGAGGGUUUUUAGUACUGCUAGACUGAAAUCCUUCUUAUGAAAUGCUGGACCACGACUUCCUAACUGCAUGACCCCUAACACCAAAAGAAUAGAAAUUUCCCCUUUAUAAACCAAGACAAGGACUAGAGGACAAAAAUUGUGGCCAGAGGAGCGAGGAGAGGACUUCGAAAUGUCCAUUUCUACAGGGCUCGGUUUACAAUUUCUCAUUAACUAAUGAAAAACGGAUAGAUUAUCAUCGGAAAGGCUUCGUACUUUGAGGAAGCUCAGUAAGCUAACAAAUUAGUAGUAAAUACAGCAGAGUUCAAAUCAAUGCAAAGAUAUUCAGACCCUUAAGAGAAGAGAAAGUUAAAUGUAACACGAAGAACCCACAUAAUUGGCUGGAGAGAAAGUGACCACAUUUCAGUAUGCGAAUAAUGUAGGGUUAUACACAAACAAGCAUGAAAGAAAGACAAGGUCAUAAUUCUGGGAAGUUGUAUCAAGCAGGCAUUUGUCAACUGUUACCUACGGUAGCCAAGAGGUUGUACACAAACGAGCAUGAAGGAAAGACAAGGCCACCGUUUUAGGAAGUUGUAUCAAGCUAGCAUUUGUCAAAUAUCACCACAGCAGCUUAUAAGUUGUCGUUUCCAUCCUCGAAUUCUUCCGGCCAGCUUUCAUGAAUUGGCAGCAAAUAUAGAUAGAAGACACAUAGUUCACAUGAAGAAAAAUUACACAUACAUGGUAUCAAUUUCGGUCUGAAAUGGAUCCAACCAACAUCUCCACUUGCUAUAUUGAUGAUUCCCAGCUCAUAAUUUCAAACCUCAAUCGAGUAGAGCAACUCAUGCACUGGUCAGCAAGAAACAAUCAAGAACAAUCGCUUUCCUUGGGGACCCAGGAACAGAAACUUUUCUUGGUGCAAAUGGAAUUUUACAGAAGAAGUGAUAUCCUCCUGCUUUUAGUCCUCAGAUCGAAGGGACAUGCGUACACGGAUCAGAGGCAACAGAGAUGCCUUUACGGGCUGCGCCGUGCAUUUAUUUCCCCAGAUGCUUCAGAUUGUGAGCGCCUAACACUAAAUCUUAGCAUGUCAACAGUGCAAAUUGAAUGCAUUUUCUGGUUAAAAAGUAACAAUUCCCUUCGAGUUCUGGCAUGCCAAAGGAAGAAAGUCCGUACAACUUAAAAUAAUCUAUCUACUUGAUUAAAAGUGUAACCGAACGUUUCAAUGACAAACUUCAUUAGGACAUAAUAAUUUUAUAUAUUUCCCUUGACAUUAGCAACUUGGGGAACUACAGCUUUGCAUUGCGUAACUAAGUACAUAGAACGAACGAACCUGUCUCUGUUGACGUUUGCCAUUCCAACUAUCUAUUACAGAUCCUAGAUUAGGUAAGAGAUUGGAACCCAUUAGAGUAUAAGCCAUUUCAAUUUACAGCAAGAAUCACUUAAUCUCUCAAAGGGCUAGAGAAAACACUCAAGAUUAACCAGUAACCCUUCCACUGGACUGAAGCUCAACUAAGAAUACUUAUCCACAAUCAAUGACCACAACUGGAUCUUGCAACCAAUGCUAAGAUACGUUCAAUUUCCUUUUCACAUCAAGUGCAUAACAGAAAGUCACCAUUCCAUAGACCGAACUCUCCGCAGAAUGCGUGCUGGUCUUCGCUUCUCCACAACAGGGAUCACUUUCUCCUUUAGCUGUAUCAAAAAUAAAUUACCCAGUCAGUAUCUGAAGAUUUUCUUGCCAUAUACCAUUCUAGCCUUGGCUGAUCUACUCGUUAAUCUUAGGGAUAAAUAAAGCACUUAGCAGUGAGUUCAUUUCCAUGGUGAAAUUAAAUUAGUUAUCAACUAAAAAACUCAGCAAGCAUGUCAUCCUUCAGAGAUCAUGUUCAUUACGUUAUUCUUCCAUGUGGGUAUUCAUCAAAGGAUCUUAGAGCAAUUUUUCAAGUCCUACUACUCUAUAUAUGUAUUGUUGACAAAAGCUUAUUCUUUUCCCCCUUCACACAUAGCAGGUAACAAAUCUUGCAUUUGGAAUGAAGUAAAAACCAGAGGAACACAACAAGGACCACCUAUUUCCGCUGCAUUUGUCCUCAAUCCAUCAACCUAUUCAUCUAUCUCAGUCCAUCAUGGAACAGGAUAGCUUAAGGAACCUCCUAACAGCCUUAAAUGCCCAACAAGAGUUAUUAUAUAAGAAUAAUUCUAACACUGCUUGUUUCAAUGUAGAUUCUGGUUGACCCAGCCUAUUUGUUCACUACGGUGCAAGCAUCCUUAUCAAUCUACUCUAAAUGGGCCAGUCAUCUUGUAUUCAUAUGCUAAAAAAAAAAAAAAAAACUCAAAAAUGUUCAUGAUGUGGGAAGAAGAGUAUUAUUUUAUCAAAUGUGGACUAAGAAGCAUGGACACAGUACAGCAUAUGAACACAACAUGACAUAGACAAAACCAAGAAAUAAUUAUCCUGAAACCAAAGAAAUUAUAUGCAGACAUCGAAUAAAAUCUUCUACGAGUAUGUACACGAUUAAUGCUAAUUUCCAAUUGUAUCUAUAUAUUCUAGGUGUGUAUAAUAUUUGAAUAACCAAAACUUGUGACUUCUAGAAAUACUUAUGGUCAAAGGGAUAAUAGCAUUUUCUGUAUCUUUUAGCCUCACAUUUUUCAUGGUCAAAGCCUGAUUCAUACAAUUUAUAGGCAAGUUUCUCUGAUUAUGUCAAAAUAUUAAAGACAUCUUCACAACUCUUUAUCACCAAUCGCUGUAAAUGAUAUAUUCUAUACUACUUUACAUGUUUGUAGCUCAUGUUAAUCUAUGUUAAAAGAUAGAGUCGCUUGCUACAUCUCAAUAAUGCUUAAGAUAUUUGGUCAAGAAGUGUUUAUUGUUUUCUUUAUUUUUUUUCACCUCAAUCUUUUACACGGUCAAAAAAGUGUUGCACAUGUCCAAGAAUGUCAAAUGUGUGACGCGUCCAGCAAAGGCAUGUUCUUAUCCUCGAUGUAUCAGUUAGACAGAUGCAAUCAAGUUGGGCUGAAACUCUAUUUGGCUUUCAAAAAUAGAUUUCCAAAUUUGACCGACUUGAUCCAUUUUGUUGAGUCUGCUUAAGUUCGAACGCAAUAAGUAUUCCAGACUUUCAACCUACCUUCAAUUUCACUGAACAAAUGCAGAAAUAUUAAACAAAAUUCCACAUACUCGAUUACCUGAUGACUAUCCAAUUACAGACUUUUGACCAGAUACCACUGUAAAAAGAAUAGUACAGGUUCCCCACAUCUUGGUUAGCAGAGCCAUUCACAAGAUUUAUCAUUAGGAGGAAAAAAAAAAAAAAGAAGAGCAAAGGAAGAUAAACUCAAGAUAUGGCCGGAAGGUUGUGACAUUGAUGGUACACUAAUGGCUUCUUAUCUUCUACUCCUUGAAAAUCAUGAUAGAGAAAACAGCGAGGUGGUUGUGUGAGUCGACCCCACUGGUCAACUUUUUGCAAACCAUGAGUAAUUACUAUAGCGAGGGAGGUUGCCAGCAGAUAUUACAAACUGCCAGCAGAUAUUAAAAAAUUAAGGGAGAGAAGACAUGGGAUAAGCGAAAGAAGUGGGGUGGAGGGUAAAAGACAGAUCAAAAAGAGGGAGUGCGAAGCUGAAGUGGUUUAAGAUAGCGUUGAAGGUCUUACCCCCCUUGCCACAAGUGCUUAAGGUAACUUUUUUUUUUUCGUGCCUAAGUUAAAUUGUAAAUAAUAGGUAUUUCACAUAUAUUCAGCAUAUACAGGAACAGAGACAGUUAAGGUAGUAGACCCUGCUCUAAUGGCUCAAGCUCCAACGUCAAAUAAAUCGAGCACUGCAGAAUAACCCAAGUCAAGCAAUGAGCUGCUUCCCAGCAGCUCAGCUAGGUUGGUCCAGCCAUGGGUGCUUACCAUUUUUGUAAAGAAGAAGAAAAAACCUAUAACAUUCAAUGCUUUGCUCCCAUCUCCACCCCCCCCUUCCCAAAAAGGAAAACCCAAAAAAGGUCCCAAGAAUAAUAAACAUUACAGAAAGAGGACAUCCCCCUUAACAUUUAUAUAUGGUCAAGAACUGAAUAGGUUACUCGUGAAAAGUAAAAUGAAGUGACACAAUCGAUAUCCAAAUCCAAGACAAGCUUUGAAGUAAAACAGGCUAAACAGACUUUAGCCCUCAAAGUCUGCAUCUACAGAUCCUAUUGAACACCAAUAUUAGUGUUCUUCCAUCAUUUUCCCACCAUGUCAAAACUACAAUUCAGCCUUGCUUUUACACCAUCCGGAAGGGGGAGACACAUACACAUUUCCUAUCAGGGAAUGAUUAAUCAACCUCCUAACUCUCAAAAAUGGUUUACAAAGUUAUUGACUCUUUAUCCACCAUCAGUCUGUGAUUGCAGCCUCUGAGUACUCUAGCCUAGGAGUAAGAUAUUUACAGGAGAUCUCUUCAUAACUACCUACCACAAAAUUAAGCAGAUUAUUUGAAGAUGUAUGAGGCCGGUAAAGUCCAGUUGCCUCUCAAGUAUUAAAAGAUCAAAGACUGGGAUCUCUAGAAACUUAAGUGGCAAAUGAGGUGAAAAGUUUGUUUUGCAGUAAAAGCAUUCAACAAGAAGAUGAACUCAAUUCGGAUCCAUUCUACCUCAGUGAAACAGUUUAUUCAACUCUAGCAUGAUAGCUUCAUAACAAUAUUCUGUAGCAAAAUAAAAAAAAAUGGAUAUAAGAGAUAAGAUUCAUACCAGCUUGCAUCUUUCCUUUGUUCUCUCAGCCUGCAAAUUGAAAUUUUCAGAUAAAUCAUUUAGUCAUUUUAAAAAUUGAUACAGCAGACUUCUAAGGAGAAGAUUUUUUAUGCUCUACACCCAUGGAAUGCAUACAGAGAUAAAGAAGUACAAAUAUAGAAAACGAGAGAGAGAGAGAGGGAGAGGAGGAGAGAGAGGUGUAUGAAAGAGAAAUUAGAUCACCAAGUUCUUAAUCAGUUUCAAACCAAUGUCUAACAGAUGAAAGCAAAGAAGUCCUUUGACCAGUUGAUAAAUAAUUAAGUACUCACACUAAGAAUUAACCAAUGGCAUGCAAAUAAUUAAAUCUCAUAGUUUCUUUAUCCAAAGAAAAAUGGUCUUCUUCAGUUAAAAAAGGGUAAACAGUGCCAAGUUCACAAGCAUGUUCGAUUUAGAAUAAUAAAAAAGAUUCACAAGGUAAAUAAAAAAAUAAUAAUAAUUACCAACAAACAUUGAUUAAUUCAAAAAAAACAUCCAUUUUCCUGUGAGAAAACAUAUUUUUUUUUUAAAUACAAAAGAAAUCAUUUCGAUUGCUCAAAAAGCAACCAUACUAUCAAUGUGAACACCACUAAUGAGUGAAGAAGUUUUAAAUAAUUAAGCACCCACCCACUCCUCCCCACAGAAAAUAUAAGUAAAACAUACAAAUUAAAAAAAAAGGGAAAUUUUGAGACUCAACUCUAAAACUCUUUUAUGGUACACAGAUCAUUCAAAACUGUAGAUAAUUGAAAUUUGGAAAAAGAUGGAAAUGGAGAGUAAAAGUACAUAAUAUUGGAGAAAUAUCUCAUAUAACAUGAACUUAGCAUGUUCCUAUGCAGUACCUUUGUUGAAAUCUGCAAUUCUGCAUCUCCCAACAGUGUGCUUCCACGAGGGCAAUGUAAGCUCUACAUAGGAUUGUUAUAACUAAUAAUUUCUAAUUCCCUUUCCUAAAGGACAGAAACAGGAAAGUUACAGCGAGUGUCCCACUGGAUCAGGAGCCUCCGCCACAGUCUAAUGUGUUAAAAGAUGGACACUGAACCUAUGGCCACCACAUUCUGACGUCAUGAAUAAAAGUCUAAGAAGAGUAAUGUGAAUUUGUUACAAAAUGACGUCAAGAGAAGUAAGAUGCAAAACGGCAACGUUGUAGGCUGCCAUGGCUGUGUUGUAUGACACCAAUAGGAGUCCUGAGAUAUCUAGUCAAAUUCACUGCAACAGGUAAUAUAUACUACAAUGGGAAGGAAUUUUCGACAAUGAUACCUAACAUUGAUUAUUAAGGUUGUCUGUUUCAGGAAGACAAAUUAUAGGACAUCAAUGAAUUGCAUAGAUGACCAACUAGACACCUUAACGACCAAUAAAGUUAUCACAUUCUCGAAGUGAUCAGUCCAUUCCAUACUCCUUGUGCUUACCAGUGACAAGUAAAAAUCACCAACAUCUUCAGAGUCGACUCUUUAAAACAACUUUUAACUCCCACUAUACAUCUUUAAACACAUAAUUACUACAACAGCAGUUGCUUCUAUCAUUAAAUGAGAUAAAUUGCUGGACUUGACUUUCUAAAAAUGUACCCUUGUAGAGUCCAUGCAAAAUUCUAAACACACAAUCAUGACUGAUUUAUCCACUUUCAAUAAGCACCCUCUGUUUUUAGAAAAAAUUCAACCCUAUUAUCCUUUCAACUCUAUGCAUUGAUCUUGGUGUCAAGAAUAAACCCAAAAUUACAUUUUGUCAUCAAAGCUUCAAACUGGAAAACAAAACACUUUGCCAAAGCCAAGCGAAAUGCGACGGUAAUAGCAUUGCAUUACCUUUUCUUUCAAGAGCUGCUCAUUCUCUUCUUCCAGUCUCACUGCCAUGGCCUCCAAUUCAACUUGGUACGCCUGCAGCAACCAAAAAUCAUCAUUGGUAACAGUAUAAGCGCUAAAAAAAAUUCCCGAAAUUCUCAACAAUGAGAAAAGUAUUCAUCUUUGUUUUAAAAAAAAAAAAAAAUCACCUGUUUUCGCUCCCUAGACCUGGCAGCCGACUCCCUAUUCUUAAUCAUCCUCCUCUGCCUCUGCUGCGCUGCUUUAUCCAUUGGCUCCAAUAAACUCGACGCUCUCCUCUUCCCUCUCCCUCCUCCUCCUCCUAGUCCUCCACUCCCCAUCGUCUCCAAACCUCCUGCACUUGCAUACCCCAGCCCUCCCCCACUUUCCACACUCCCCUGCCUCGACAUAUACGGACUAUCAAAAGCAAACAUUCCCCCACUCGUUCCCGCGACCGCAGCAGCCUCCACCUUCACCUCCCCCUCCACUCCUGCCGCCGCAGCAACAGCCGAUUCCUCCACUGCUCCAGCCUUUACCAAAAAAUCCUCCAAUGUCAUCAUCUCAUCCAUUGCCUCCUCCUUAGGCUCCACUCUCCUCGCCGGCUCGCUCGCUGCCGUCUUCCCCGCCACAAUCUCUCUCCACACAUCAUCCACCGUCUUCUUCCUCACCGGCGCCGGCGAGAUGGGCGUGAUCGCUCCGGAAGCAUCCAAAAGCGUAAUUUCCGCAUUCAACAAAGUACUCUCAGUCGUCGUCGUGCUCGCAGAAACAGCUGCCGCAGCAUUUGGAGAGUUUUGAUGAUAAUGAUGAUGAUUGCGGAAAUUAUGGAAAUCAGAUUUGGAAAGCGAAUUCCGACGGAGUUCGGAGUUAUGAGAUGAAGUCGCUGCCGAAGUUGAAGAAGCCAUGAGCUUCGACGUCGCCAUUUCUGUCAACGGAGUCACGAAUUUCUAGGGUUUCUUCGAUCGGAGGAAUAGUAGUAGGACAUAAUAGUACGGAGAUGGGAGGGCGAUCACGUGAGUGAUUAUGAGUGCCAGUUAGUAAGUGUGUGUGUGAGAGAGAGAGAGAGAGAGAGAGAGAGAGAGAGUUGAUGUGUGAAUUCGUAUGGUUUUCGGUGCGUGAGUGUGUGUUUUUCUAGGUUUUGGGAAACUUUGAUUAUUGGUUAGAUAGACCGGCUGAUGAUUGAUUAUUUGUUGUUGUCUGUACUUUUUUUUGUUGCCGGGAAAUGACUCAGGAUUUCUCCUUCUGGUCAAGCGGUCGUUAAAUAAAAGUUAAAAGUUAGUUUACCUCCUGAACCAUGCCUUCAUUUGUACCCCAUCAUGUUGUAUGAUACCAUCUGAGCAAUCCGGUUCGACUUUCAAAUUUCGGUUCCAAUCUCAUCCUCUUGCGUAUUAGUUAGACAAAACUAGUCGCACCAGUCUCUAAACUAUUGUCAUUGCACCAUUUUAGUCCCUCAAUAACAUAUUAUCACAAAUAAGCUCCUUAAUAAAAUAGUGUCACGUCUGAGGUUUUUUUUUUUUUUUUGGGUCAAAUUUACUCUUUAGAGUCAACAAAAUGAGAGGUAAAAGUGGUAAGUGCAACCGAAAUUAAAAGGUGUUUUUGCCCAAAUACUUAAUAUAAUCAUUGGGACCAGAAUCAAAAGGGUGAAGAUGAAAAAUACACUUCAUUAUUUAAUAUUGCAAAAAUAAUGAAUCCAGUGACGGUAAAAUGAAGUGUUUUCUUCUUCUUAACCCUUCCAAUUCUGGUCACAAUAGUUAUAUUAAGUGGUUUGAUACCAAUGUUCUUUGAUUCUGGCUGCACUUAGAAUAGUUGAAAGUAUAUAUUUUUAAGGGAUAAUUUCAGAAACCUCAGGAGAGGUUUCUGACAGUCUCAUUCACCUCCCCUGAACUUUACAAAAUAUCAGAUACCUCCCUUGUCAGAUUAUUGGGCUCUAUUUGUGAUAUCAUUGAUCAUAAAUUGAUAGAUAUACCCUCAUAACUUAUGAUAUAUUUUGAAGCUAUUUUGACAGAAUUAGUUAAAUGAGUAAUAGAGAUAUAACUUUUGAUAUAACUUAUGAUAUACCUUCUAUUCCACUUUACACUUUUUAUUCGCAGUACAAUCACCAAUGAAGAGUUUAGCACUAGUGUUACCUUUCUCUAAAGUCAUGUAUUUCAUGUUUUUUUUUUGUAAGACAAUUAUCUAGUGUAACUCAUUACUUAUAUUUGGGUAAAUUUGGUUUUCAAAAAUUCAAUGACGUAAAUUGUAUAUUACAUCAUCUCAUAAAGUGAUGCGACACAAUUUGGGUUAUUGAAUUUUUUGAAAAUCGGAUCUACCUAAGUUCUGGUUUUCAAACGAAGCUUGUUGAAUAAAUUUGACUAACUACAGUGUGAAUUAAUUUUUUUUUUAAAAAAAUCUCAACUAAAGUAUCUAGCACUAAAUGAAAUGAAGUAUCUUGCUACUUCAUUUCAUUUUCCACAGAGAAAAUCGCAAAAAGAGUUAUUAAACUAUUGAGAAUUUGGUUAUUUGAUCGUUACACUAUUUAUUUAACUGCAAUUGCCAUUCACUCAAUUAACCAAAUAGUGAAAUUUUUUUUGUGACUUAACUAGUAAAAAUUUAUACUUUUAAUCACUCAAAUUAUAAAACUAUACAUUUUUUUAUAUCACCAGAAGUAUGUUUCAAUUAAUUGAAUGAUCAUAUUAGCUAAAUAAAUGUCUAAUAGCUAAAACAAAAAAAAAAUAUAAAUAGCAUGAUAACAUUGCUUGAAGAAGCCAUUUGCAUUUGUCUCUAUCUGGUUCAACUUAUUACUUCUUUUUUUGGCUUUUGCUUUAGCUCGAGUUGUGGAUAAGCAAAAAAGGGCAUAUGUGGAACACAAAUAUCAUCUCACUCCUCAAAAUAUUUUUUUAAUGCUCAUUUUUCUGACAUGGGCUGAUCUUGUUACUCCAACUAUAAGUUCAGGGGAGGUAUCUGAUAUUUUGCAAAGUUCAGGGAAGGUGAGUGAGACUAUCAGAAACCUCAGGGAGGUUUCUGAAAUUAUCCAUAUUUUUAAUUGUUCAGGGGUUGUUCUAAGACAAAAUUUAGAUUAGCAGCUAAAACUUGACAACUCUCUCUUUUAGUACUACUCAAUCUAUUUCUCGCAUAAAAGAUAAUGUCAUAUCCUUUCUAACAUGCAUAUUAUUCUAUUUUGUCCUAUUAUUUGUAGGUUUGUAGUUACAAAAUUUGUUACCUAUAGUCUGCAUGUAUUGAUUCCAAUGUACACAGUUGGUUGCUUGUCACAUUUUUUAAAAAGAGUGUUUUAAUUAAGCAAAAAAAAAAGAGUUUAAUUAUUUAUUGAUUUUAAACAACGAUUUUAGUUAUUAAGGCUUUAAUUGAACCUAUGAACGAUUUUGACAUAUCUUAUAUAUGUAGUGAAUAGCAAUUAAGCUUUGCUUAAUUUUUCUAGUAGGACAGGAAAGAGGCAAGUUUUUAUAAUUCUUGAUGAAUUAAUCUCGAUUUGCUUAGCUUGAGAUAAUUAGUUUGGCUCUUAUCUGUUUUGGUCUUUGGUUCUCUUUGUACACUUCAAAUCAAUUUCAAGUAUUUUCCAUGCUAAAGCUUGAUUGAGCUCUUGUAUUUUCCCUAAAAAAUUUCUCUGCGUAUGGUAUGCAGUACACUACAAGAGUGGCUAUCUAACACGACAAGUGAAGCUUGAUGCCUUGAUCUUUUAUUUGUCAAAAAGAAACGGGUACUAGUACUGUAUUAAUGGUUAGCUUAAUCUUAACCACAUGCUAUACAAAUGAAUUAGUUACAUUUUUGUCAAGCCUACUAAGAUGACAUUAGCAUAGUUAGCACAUUGAUUAUGUUCAAGAACUUAUAGUAUGAAUUAUGCUUGUGAACACACACACACACACACACACACACACAUGGGAUAAUUUUAGAAACCUCCCCUGAGUUUCCUGACAAUUUCAUUGAGCUCCCUUGAGAUUUGAAAAAUUACACAUACCUCCCUUGUCAUUUAAAAUGACAAUUUUACCCUUAAAUAUUUCAAUGAAAUCCCCUUAUUUUGUAUGCUUAUACUUUGAAUGAGUUUUAAAAUUAAUUUUUAUUCUUUUUCCUUCUUAUUCCUUUUUUUUUAAAAUUUUUCGCCAAUAAAACUGUAGAACUACCACUAUUACUUCUAGUUUUUAUUGUAACCAAAUGUCGAACUAGUGAUUUUUUGAUGAGUUAAUUUUAUAUAUAAUCCAAUGCUUUUGCUAAUCUUUGAUUUUUAUUUUUUGGUACUAAAAUUAACAAUAAAUCAAAAAGAAAUGGCCCAAAAUCAUUACCAAAUUAUAAUAAUCCCACUACCCGAAAAAUUCAUAAACUCUAAAUGAAUUAUUUCAAUAUUUUCUUUUCUAUCUUAUAAAUCUAAAUCCAUAAUAAAGUACUAUCAAAAGUAUCCUAUCAUAGUGAUAAAAUUAUUAUUAUAGUUGUUUAUCAAAUAGUAGGUAUGGACAUGAAAAUUUUGGCACCUUUUCCUUGUAAUUAUACUAGAUAAUCUUAUAAUUGCAUAGGAAAAUAAAUUAAAACUAAUUUCACAAGAGUAUUUUUGGGUAUUCAUUUAAAAAAUUGACCAAUUCAAUAUUAUUUUAAGAUUUUGUUACUAAAACUAUUAAAUCAAGGGAGGUAAGUGUAAUUUUUCAAACCUCAGGGGAGCUCAAUAAAAUUAUCAAAAACCUCAGAGAAAAUUAUCCCUCUAUAUAUAUAUAUAUGUAUGUAUACACACACACAAACACACACACGUACAUACGCUCAAUGAGAUGUGCAUAAAACUCAUCACAAAUUGAGCCCUCCAAGUAUAUACAACUCUGUGAUCAGAUGACCGCUACUAUAGAGAUAGUGUGUUUGGUGGCUUGAAUGAAUUCAAGUAGGUUGCUUAGAGGACUAAUACUAUUUCGUCUUUAACGUCUUUUGUCCACAUAUUAAUACUUCACGUUUAUUUUGACGUACUCUUUAUUUCUUUACGUAGAAUCAGGUUACACAUAUGUGGCUGGCCAUGCCCUCAUCUAUGUAUAUACAUGCAUGCAAAUAUUGCGGCCGAAGUUUGCCAGAUUUUGCAGAUUCUAUAAAAGCUAAAAACGUGGAAUUUGUUGAACCGAAAUUGAUUCCUGGAUUUGCUUUAACAUGUGGUUUCUCCGAAAUGCCUUGCUCAAGCUCUUAACCGCCGCCAUUAGCAUAUCCAGCCCCUUGCCCUGAUUUCAUGGGGCCGCUGCAUUUGUUACUCUUUUCCCCACUAAUGAUUUGAUUAUCGAUAGCUUAAAAGUAAAAACUUUCGUAUUUAUCUAAUUCUUUUCUUUGACAAAAAUGGAUAGAUAGGGGGAAAUUAGUAAGGUAAAGAAGAAAAAAAAAUGAUGCUAUAUUUGAUCAUAUUUUUGUCUUGCAAACAAUUCUCAACCUAAUAUAUGCUUAAUUCAUUCUCUUUGAAAACUAUUACUAGUAAUUAUAUUUUCCUUUUAUAUAUAUAUAUAUAUAUAUAUAUAUAUAUAUAUAUAUAUAUAUAUAUAUAUAUAUAUAUAUAUCACAUCCCAAAAAUAGCGACGUUCUAAUAACAUAUACCAUGUUAGUUGAAAUUGGUAAAUAUAUUGUGUAUCUGAGUUGAUUAGGAAGUCUAAUUAAAAACUUGCAUAUUAGCAUAAUUUUUUUUGUUAAAACCGAGAAGGAUUGGUGUUACUUUGUGUGCCCCAAAUGAUGUUGUACUAAAAUGUAAUUAAAUUUAGGAAAUGAAUCUUAAUUUGUUUUUCUAAUAAAAAAAAUAGUGGGACAUGAUUACUCAAGUAAUGACUCUAUAUAUAUAAACAAGAAAAGCCUAAUCUAAAGAUGGAUUACUUGGGUUGUCUGUAAUUUGUAAUUGCAUUACCUUAAUCCCAAAAUUUCACAACCGGCCGGGUUUUCCAAAAUCGACCUUUAUUUCCUUAAAAUGGACUGAUUUCACCAAUAAGAGAUAGAUUACUUCCUAUUCACCAUUUCUUAAUUAGUUCAUGAUGUAGGGCAUCAAAUACAAAUACAUAUUUCUAAUUGUAGAAUGCCUUAAUAUCUGGAAGACUACUUUAUCUUAAAGCCUAGCCCUUUUAAUUUUAGAUACAAUGAAUAUUUUUCUAUUAAUACACCAUAAGUUGAUUCUUAAUUUCUCAUAAAAAUGGGAUGGAUGGGGUGUACUAGUUAAGACUCAAGAAAAGCUUCUUCUUGUUUUGAUAAGGAUUUCCAAGAAGUUAAGCGGGCGAGAAUGCUGGAGAUCAGGGAUAACAAGUUACCAACAGUUGUGAUUUUUUUUUUAAGCUUUAUUUGUUUAACUCUUAUUAUUAUUACUAUACUAUUGAUAUUCUUUUUUUUUUUUAAUUACUGUUGACGUCAAUAAUGUAAAGUAUUAAAAUCAGUGCAAUGUCUGAAAAAAGACCUGAAAUACAAUUAUUAAACAUCAAGAUUCGGCACAUAAAAUUAGGUCCAAAAAAUAAAACAACCUUCAAGCUUGAAAUUAUGAGCAUACACAUGAAAACAUGUCUGUCAAUAUGAAUGAGCUAUUGAGCAUGACAUCUCUAAAAGAAUCUUGGGUAGAACAUAUUGAAGUUAACGAUAAUUUUUCUCAACAACCUUUCAAAAUUUGCAUACAAAUCUAGUGUUAGCAGAAUUAGUGUUCAUAAAGUGAAUAUUAGUCAAUAUCCCGUUUAUAUUGUUUGGAUUGUGAUUUUUCGCAGAAAAUUUUUUAUAUAUAUUUCAUGAAACAUUUUCUGAUCAUCUUUUUUAUCUCACAUACAUCAAAUUGCUACCGUACAUUUCUGUAUAAAAACUCCUAUUGUGACUUCCCUUACUCCUGUUUUGAUUUAAUUUUCAUAAUGUGUUCCUAAUAUACAUUUUUUUUUGCCUUUCAUGUUUUUCCUUAGAAUUUUUCUUUGGAGACUGGAUUGGUGAGGGACAGAUGAAGCCUUCAAAUGUACAAUUAUAUAAAAUUUAAAGCCUUCGGUUAUGCUAUACAGGUUCGUUGUAUUAAAGAUUUGGUCGGUCACUCAAACCAUACCAAAAAAGCAAUAUAAUCAUCCCCUAUUCCAUAAAAAGUAAUGACUUUUUAAAGAGAGUUUAUAUAUAUACUCAAUUAAUUACGAAACUAAGGUCUUUCAUAGAAGCCACCUCGUAUCCCAUUAUAGCCUUAAUCUUUGCAAGCCUAUUGGAGAAGUCUCUCUCUCUCUCUCUCUCUCUUUCUCCGAGAAACAUGAUCAAAAUAGAUGAGAUCAUAAUAUGAAACUAGAUGGAUGACAAAAGAAAGACAACGUGAAACACAAGGCUUAAAACUGUCAUUCUACUGGCUUUAAAAGGUUCAUUGGCCUAACAGAUAGAUUAUCAAGUUCAGAUGCUAAUUUGUAUCCCUUCAUUCCCUUCCUAACUCUUUCUUUUCAGGAUUUAUUACAGUUUGCCAGAAACUCUCAUUUGGAACCCAGAAACUCUUCAGUUUCAAUUCUUUUCAGAGGAAGACAGCCUUAAACCCUCUACCUCACGAGUUAUAGAUAAAGAAAUCGAGAUGUGGGCCGGUAUCAGAAGAUCAAAAAACAAUCAAGGUUCGACUCUAUGAGCUUCAAUCUCAAUUUUUAGUUGUUCUUGUUAUUGUAUUUUGUUUUUUUGCCUCUUUGGGGUUUUGCUGCAUGAUAAGAGAAUAUUACAGUGCAUAGGAUUUUAUUGUCCUGACAAAACGUUUCUUCAUGGAGUCAAGUAAUCCUCUAGUCUAGAAAAAGUUAACAGUUUUAGAACUUGGCACGAAGCUUAGCUAUUUUUGCUUUUUGGGUAACAAAUUUCUUCUCCAAAAUUUGCAGAUGAAUAUACUGAAAGAAUCGACAUUAUCAAUCAAUAUUUUCCAUGAUUAUCUAUCCCAUGUAAUGAAUUGUUCAACAAUUCAUGCUUACCUUGUGAUGACAAUAUAUACCUCCAUGCAUGAAUAUUAGCGUUUGGAUAACUUAAAUAAUCUAAUCUCAAAACACUUCUGCCUUUAUCCUAUGAGUAGUUGCUAUCUAGUUCAAUUGGUUUCAUCUUAUUUCUUGAUCAUCUUGUAUAACGUUAGUGCAAACCUUUCAUUGAUUUUCCUCAGAUAAGAAGGAGAUGAUAAGGGAAUCAUGUAGAAAUCUUAGUGUGAACGAGGAGUACCUUGGAGCAUUAAGAACAAAAUCGUAUACAGAAUUUUUCAGCAAAGCUCAGACUCUAGUUAACCAGCCAUCUUCUCUUAAUUACUGCAAUCAGAGGUUUUCAGAUACUCUUCUUGAACCCGGGCAAGAAACCAUAGCAACAAUUCUGGAAUCAGCAGUAUCUCUUUCAAGAAAAUCUGAUCUCAGAGCCCUUCUCUUCAAUUACUUUGAUAUUAGUGCUGAGGCUUCAAAAAUUUGCAGCCAUCUUCUCAGAAGCAUUAAUCAACUUCAAUCCAAUUACCAGCUUGUUAAACAAGUUCUCGACACGAUCGAUGACUAUUCCCCCGAGCAAUUAGGAUUUAUCGUUUCUGAGCUUCGUGAACUAAUUUCGCUCAACAAUCCAUUAUCUGGUCUGAAUCAACAAGAUUUCAUCCGAAUCCACGACAAGUAUUCAUCAGUCCUACAACAUUUGAAAGCAAAGCGAAAAAGAAUUGCUCGAAAAAUCAAGCUAAUAAAAUGCUUCAACAAGGCUUCUGGAGCAUGUGUCACGACAGCCUGUGGUGUAGUUGCAGUUGCAGCACUAGUCCUAGCAGCAGCACACACAGUUGUAGCAUUGACAAUGGGACCAGCUCUCUUUACCAUGCCACUGCAGCCACUGAGGAAAAAACUUCUCAAAAUUAGUGCUGUGAAGUGUGGAUUUCUAAGAAAAGUUGGAGAACAACUUGAUGUUGCAGCAAAAGGGACGUACAUUUUGAAUAGAGAUUUUGAUACAAUGAGUAGACUUGUGGUCAGGCUCCAUGAUGAAAUUGAUCAUACCAAGGCAAUGAUACAAUUCUUUUUAGAUAGAAGAGAAGAUAAAUAUUCUUGGCAAAUACUGAAGGAGCUUAAGAAGAAGGAUUUUGGGUUCAGGAAACAAGUAGAGGAGCUUGAAGAACAUGUGUAUUUGUGCCUUGUCACAAUUAAUCGGGCUAGAGUUUUGGUUGUCACUGAAAUUGCCAAGUCUUGCCAGGAAAAUUCAUUCUAGUAAUUUAGAAACCAAUUCUUUUUCAUUUCUAAGCUGCCAGCCACCAACUCCUUGUUUAUUAAAUAGCAAUCUAUUUGUAGAUAGGAUAUCAGGUUUAUUCCAUUGUAGAUAGUAGUAUAUCUUAUUUGUUUCAUUUAUGGAGUGAUAUAAUGGCUAUAUAUUCUUUGAUUUUUUUUUUUAACAAUAUUUGUACCUGCACAAGUUAAGGAGCCAUACUCAGAGGCAUAUUCUUUGACCUAAACAAGCUCAUGGCAUUCAACAAAGAAAAGCGAUUGAAAAUAUCAAGUUUGUUCCACGGUUAUAAUUCCACAUUUACAAUAACAUGUUGAAAUUUUACAAAAUUUGCAAUUGGCAUUUACAUCAGAUAAAAUUUUAUAGAUAGCACUAAUGAAGCAUAACGUAGGAAACUAAUCAUGUUCAAGUCGAACUCGAGCAAGGCAACGUUGAUACCUAACUCCAUUUACUUGCACUCCUCAUGUAAUGCAAGAAGGUGUAGACUAAAAAGCAGGUCCCAUAGCAUGCAUUUAUUUUUUGGUUAGCUGUUGAAAGAGACUAGCUUAUAAAGAUUGAUUGCAGGAUUGGAGUUUUAAUGCAUAAUUAUAGACAAUUACCACAUAGCCCUAGAUGAGGCAUCUAUCCAUCCAGCAGGACCAGCACCCGCGUAGUAUUUUGUCUACAAAUGUGAAACAAGUUAUUCGGACAUUUUGGUACUUCCACAUCUAAUUAUAUACCUAUUCAAGUGAUUCCCCCACCUAUGAAUAUUCAUUGUUUGGGAUAAUUUUUCAAAAAAUAUACUAUAACACGGUAAUUUUUUAAAAAAUAUACUGUAACACUUUUUCUUUUUUUUUUUAUGUGAUGUAUGUAAGACAGAAAAGGUAAUCGAAAAAUGUGUUGAUGAUAUAAGCAAAUAAAUUUUUACAAAUAAAUCACUAUCCAAACAAACCCAUUUCCUUUGCUAGUUUUCUCAAAAUUUGCUAGCAUUUUACUCUAUUGAUGCUAAAAUGGUUAAAAAAAAAAAAUAUUCACAUCGAUUUAUAAUUUUGAUGGCAAAAAACAAAACAUGGAAACAUCAGUUAGACAAAAAUCACUAUAGAUUAGAAAAUUCGAAUUAAAAGGAUUUUUUCGGCGGCCGGUGUCUAGUUUAUUGGACAGUCAUUAACACAUUUAAAUUGUACCUAACUUAUCAAAAUUAUUAAAUGUAUUUAGAUACUUAGAUACUUUUUCAAAUUAAUUACACUUUUUCAAUAAAUUAACACUUAAGACUCAUAUUGAGUUUUUUUUUUUUUUUUGCCACAACAAUAUGGGUUGGUCCAAUUGGCUUUUGACAAACAUUUAGUACAACCUUGUUCCUCUUUGAGAUCAUCAAUGUUUACCGUGUGGGAUCUGUCUGUCUGUCAAAACCAUAGGCCAUUGGACAUGUAUCAACCUGGUUCUAUUUCUUGAGCAUCUUGAACUGCUGGCCAACUACUAGAAGAAUCUCUUUUCUUUUACCCAAAUAAAAGAAAAAGAAAAUCUCAAUCCUCUAAGCGAAUCAAAAUUGCCCCAGAAAAUAAAAUGGAAAAGGAAAAACUUUCUUAACUUUCAGCUGCCAAUUAUUUUUUUGUAUGCCAAGCAUUAAUAUCUAAAUAAUGCGAGAUUUUCUCUUUUCUACAAUUAUGCAUUUUCCCCUCGAUCACAGCCUACUCAACCUGCUUGAAUGAGACCUUAUUUCCCAUAUUUUUUUCUAUUCUUGGCUUUUUCAGUUUCAACCAAAAGUCCUUCUUCUGCUCGUUUCUUUUCCUAUUUAAGAGUUAGAGAAUAAAUUAUAGAGAACUUUUCACUUGCUUUUUCUACUAAAUAAUUUUAAUUAUUUUCUCCCCCUGCGUCAUUAGUCAAACUCAUUAAACUUCUUGAAUAAGUUUAUUAAUCAUCGCUUUCUCCAAAACUAAGGAAGCUUGCAGCUUUUUUCUUCUGCUCCAUUUCCCUCCGAAAGGGUCUACUUCAAGGUAUUAGCUCAACCAUCAACCCCGAAAUCUCAUUUUCUAAUUCAAGAAUUGUUCUCUUUUUACUAGUUUUAAAGUUUAGUGCUCAAGUAUUUAUCGCAUGUUUCUUGAAUUAUUCACUGAAAAUAGGAAAGGGAAGAUUUUACUUGAUUGAUCUUGACGGUAUAACCUAUUUGAAGCCCUUUAAUCUAUUGAUUAAGCAGUGUUUUUGGCUGCUGGGGGUGUAAAGUGUGAUUCUUUAUUGGUGUUUGUGAAUAUCUUUCGAGGUCUAAUGCUUUAAUUGCUGUACCAAACGUUCUACGCGUGAUAUUGACUGGUUGAUUUGUAGUAAUAUUUAAGUUAGUUUAUGAGCAAAAAGGUUAGUUAAUGAGGAAAAAGGACAGGCUAUACAGCUUGAUUUGCUUCUUUUGUUGGACUCUUAUUGGUUAUCUUGCUUGACCAUUUUGGUGCUCUUUCCCAUUUUCAGCCUCCCCUUAAUUUAUAUGCUUGCAUAUUCGAUACGUAUAAGGAUGAGGAAUUUUUUUUUUUUUUUGUGAAGGGAUUUUGGAGUUCUGGGGUUCUCGCAUUUGUUUGUGUUCUGCUAGUUCUCUGUGUUGGAUGUAAAGAACUGAUUUUGGAGGGUUUUGGUGGUGUUUCAGCAUCAAUUUUUCGUCGGUUGCUUACCUGAAGUAUUUUUGUAGGAAUCUGAAUUCGAAAUGUUCGUUUUAUAAGCUUUCUGGAUCAGUCAGAUGAAAUGGAUACCAAUGGGUCUGCUAAACCGUCAGUUUAUGUGGAAAACGAAGGGAAAAGGGACCAGGUGGUAGAGAACAAGUUAGACCAAACCCAUGAUGGUAGUAACCUAUUGGUUGGCUUAGAGAGGAAGCCUAAGGGUGAGCGAUGUAAUGCUGGUGCAGCAAAUGGAAGAGGGAGAGAGCAGAAAUAUACACUGGAAGAAGCUGCUGCUAAUUCUGCAGGGAAGUCUAGUGUCAGGUUGUUUGAUGGAUUAGAUGAGCAGGGAACUAGUAGAGGCGACAAUAGUCUUUUGGAUGAUGAGCAGUCUGAGGCAUGUUCUACUCCUGAAGUAGACUCCCAGAGGAAACCACUGCAGCAGCAUUCAUCAGUCCUUGAGAUUUCCCACUCGAAGGACCCUCCUGUGAUCCGAUCACAGCGGGCACGGAGAGGUUAGAAAUUGGAAUUUUCUCUUUGUCUGGAUAUUUUUUUGCUUGCUUUUCUUUUUCUCUUUAUUUUUCCUUAUUGUCAUUAUUUGGCUUUCAAUUCCUAGUCCCAUAAGUUCUGAUUCUUCACUUGGAAAAUAAUUGGUCUUGCCCUUGUGGUUGUCCCUCAAGAACUGGAGACUUGUCAACUAUGUAUAGCAGGUGAGGAGAGAUGGAACAAAGAAUAAAAAGGAUUUUCCAUCCUUGAGAACAAAGACUAUUGUUUGCUAUAUGAUUUUCAAUUGAAAUUUCUCCAAAAAAAAAGUCAUAUGAAUAUUGGGAAGCAAUUUUUCUGAAUCUAGGCUACAUCCAUCUCAUAUAAUUUCUAUUUCAAUUAGAUGCUUUUGUGAUUAGUUGGAAGAAGUAACUGCUCAGUGCUAAAUAUCUUUUCUGUUGUUCCUGAUUACCCAUCCUUCUGGAAGAAGCCAAUAGCAUCAUCAUGACAUCUUUGCCCCUUUACAGUGUUAUUUGGGAAAGUGUAGUUCUUCAUGCCAACCAUCUGAUGAAACAGGCUUUCAGAACAAUCUCUUAUUGAGAUUUAGAGCUUUCAAUAAGACUUCUAGGUUGAACUCUUAUAAUUUGACCUGAUAACUACAGCAUUCAGUUUGCAAAUUUGAGAUUUAACUGUCAAAAACUUUUUGUUUGGACCAUCCGAUUAAUGUAUGCUCAUCAUGAGAUUAUUUCUUCUCUCUCCUCCUCCCUCCCGCUCUCCCUCUCCGUCCCCUCCUCCCUCCUCUCUCUCUCCUCUUUUUCCCCCUUUUCAAUCUUAAAUUUUGUUUAUUUGAUUAUUUUUCAAUCUACCUUAAGGUUUUGACCGAUGCAUCACUGACCUUAUGGGAAGUCCUAGAAAUGUCUCCCUUGGAAGCCGAAGAAUUGGUUAUUCAAGAUCCAUGGUUGAGAAGAAAGGGAGUCCUAUGUAUGACCCAAAGCUGGAUAGGCUGUCCAAAAGUGAGAAGGUGACCAUGGAUAUCACUACUAUUUUUUCAUUACAAUUUCUUGUUUUCUGUUCAUUUUUAUCGUUAAAUUUCAAGUUGCAUAAUUGCUAUUUUAAGGAUAUUGUUUACUUCUUUCACAAUGUUAAACGGCCUUCUAAGCACUUGCCUAAGUAGUUAAGCAGGUUGCAAAUAUAUCCCCUUUUAUAAGAGAAUAAGAAUAUGUUUUUCUGUUUUCUCUUCCCUUAGGUGUGUAUGGUCAUGCAUACUCGUAUUACUUUUUGUACAUUGGUAAGGGUACUGUGUUUGGCCUUUCAGGAAUGGCUAAUUAUGGACCUAGUGAAGUUCCAAAAUGACGGGACAGUGGAAGUUGAUCUGACUAGGGGUUCACCUGGAGCGUCUGAACUGUUAGAGCUUAGCUCACUUGAAGGACCUCCUCCUAUUUUAGAUGAUAUUGUCACUGAUUUCAACAAAACAAUUCCCAAAUUGAAGAUUGCUAUGCUUGUGGUUGGAACAAGAGGAGAUGUGCAGCCGUUUCUAGCCAUGGCUAAGAGACUACAGGCACGUCAGGUGUUGGUUUCCAAUGAGCAUUACAGCUGUCUAUGCUUGGUUUUUUAAUUUCUUGUAUUGCUUGCUAUGUUCUAAUUGUCUAAAAAGGUGACAACAGAUUUAUAUGGAUGUUGGGAUAUGUUCUUUUACUGAAAUCUGUACAGUCAUAUCAGCUUAAAGUGUGAAGAAAAAUUGAUUUACGGGAGUUCUAGAAGUCUAGGAUUAAGUGUUGUAAUUUUCUUUUCAUCUUCAUGAUCUGUGGCAGUUAAGGUUUCUUCCCUUGAGCUUAAUUAGAAUUAUGGGAAACACUCUUUGCAGUGAUUUUCAAGUAAUUAUGAUAUAGUUCAGAAUUUCUUGACUUCAUGUUCUCAAGAAGAAAAUGAAUUAAGAUGACCUACAGUUGACAAGGUGAAGUUGUGCAAAACGAUAGUGCACAAUGAUAAGUUACUUAAUCUCCUUUUGUUCUACUUGGAAAUCACAAAAUUUAUUAUAAAGCCCUGGACCUCAUAUAUUUGUUUUAAAGAGCAAUGUGAUGCUUCAUGCUUGAAUCUAUGCCUUGUCUGCUUUCACUUUUGUGGUUUCCUAGAUUCAAUCAAGAUAUGUACAUGCACGUAUGAACUAGUGCAAGUAGGAAGUGUUAAUUUUUGUUCUGUAUCAUGCAGGCCUUGUAGUUUGGUACCUUUAUUCAUUGUCUUAUAAGUGUCUGUAUCAGCUUUCAAAGAAUAAGUGAAAGUUACACAUAUGAACUAGUGCAAGAGGGAAGUGUAAAUUUUUGUUCCGGAUCAUGCAGGCCUAGUAGUUUGAUACCUUUAUUCAUUUUCUUAUAAGUGUCUGUAUCAGCUUUCAAAGAAUAAGUGAAAGUUGUGCUUGCAAUAUAAGGAUUUAUCAUGCCUUUUUCUUUUCUUAUUCCAAUUUAACUCAAAGAUUUUAGUUAUUAUAUUUACUUAUGUAGUGAUGUUUUCUGUGAUUUUUUGUUCCUGAACAUCAACUUUGAGGGAAUUGGUCUACAUCAUUUUCAGUUUUAUAAUUGUAUAGCAGGGGACCAAAGAGUUAAAUGGAGACUUUAAGUUGAUUCGCAUGGGGUAUCAUGUUCUGUUGUAAUGUAAAUAUAUGCCUACAAAUUGCUCUAAUUUUGGUGUUAACAAGCACCCAAUUCUGCAGUUGUAGGUAGUUAAAAGUGCAAAAAGGAAGAUAAAUGAAAAAGUUGGCUUUUCUGUUCGUUUCUUCCAUGUAAUCUCGGUAAUUAUAAUUUGAAAUUUUGAUUAUUUCACAAGUCAAUAACUUUUCUUACUGUGAAAUAUUCCAUGCUACCCAUUUGUAUGAAUUAUUAGAAAAUUAAAUUUGAUUAUUUUUCUUUUGGAGCCUGUGGUCAUUUGAUUUGGUUCUGUUAGGGCAUGGACUCUUUAAUUGGUCUAUAAUGACAUAUUGAUCGAUUAUUGUGGUCCAUAAAAUGGAAGAGUGGUCAAUGUAUUGCUUUGCUUAUCUUCUUCCUGACAGUUAAUUAUCUUAAUACUUCUGUGGUGUAUUUACUAUUUGCUUUGAGGUCUCACUUCAAGUUUGUUGAGUUGUCAAAUUGAAACAUAUCUCUAGUUUUCAAUCAUACCGUAUUAUAUUUAUGGUGUAAUUUGUCUUUGGACAUUCUGUAGUUUAACAGCAUGUAUAACCUUUUCAUAAAAAAAGUGGGUUCAUUUUUGGACCUUCUAACUCCAAGUGUACUCACAGGAAUUUGGUCAUCGUGUUAGGCUGGCAACUCAUGCUAACUUCGAUGAUUUUGUGAAGUCUGCUGGCGUAGAGUUUUUCCCUUUGGGCGGUGAUCCUCGUGUAUUAGCAGGAUGUAAGAGGUCCUUGACACUCAAAUACCUCUUUUUAACCUGAAGAUGUAUUUAUUUAUUUUUUCUGUUGAUAUAGCUUUCAUGAGUUAUCUCUCUCUUUUUUGGACCUCACUUGUGAUUGCUUCUUUUACUUUCCUGUUGUAAUCAUAUGGUUGGUAUAUUCAGUUUAACAUGGUAGCUAGAUUAUGAGAAUAGAAGUUGAAGUCAUAUUCAAAAGGGUUAACUAAUUCAGUGUCUCAGCAGUACUCUUUCUUGCUACAAUUACAUACACCUAUAUUUUGUAAUGCAACCUGCUUGGUUUUGUGUAAAAUUCUAAUUGGUUGACUAUGGAAGUCUUUUCUAUGUAAUGAUGAAUUUGUCUCCUGCUUCUGUAGAUAUGGCCCGCAAUAAAGGUCUAAUUCCAUAUUCACCAGGAGAAAUAUCUAUUCAGCGAAAACAACUGAAGGCGAUUAUUGAAUCUCUUCUUCCUGCUUGUACAGAACCAGAUCUAGAAAGCAGAGAGCCUUUCAGGGCUCAGGCAAUCAUUGCGAAUCCUCCAGCUUAUGGUUAGUUUAUCAAAUCUGAACAGACCUCUUUCCCCCUCCCCCCAGGCGGUCCUUAAACAAAAGGAAAAAGGAAAAGAGGAAAUACUUUUGGUGGACCAUCACCUGUAUGAACAAGGAUUCGUUUUACUUUCCCACCUAGCUGCUCUAGGUAGGGUGUAAGUCCUGGGUUUUUUUUUUGUUGGGGGGGGGGGAGGAUAUCUGUUGGUGUGUCUGUUUCUCGCAGGUAAUAGAUUGGCUUGGAUGUACUAGAUCUUUCUUUUACUAUUGUUGAAUUCUUACUGGAUGUUGUCAUCUUACUCAUCUGUCUAUAGAGUUCAGAAAUGUAUUGCUCUUUGUGUAUUUGAUAAACCAGUACUAAUUCAAAGAAAUUAGUGAGAAUUUGGACACUGGGCAUGAGGCAAAAUUGAGAUUUUAUGUUCUCAGUUGACAGAUGAUUCCUGAAAAUGGUUCGAAUAAAAGAUUGUUUCAGUUGGUGGCAUCACUGGUGUAGUUAUGAUAAUACUUUUAGCAGACAUUAGGAUGAGUAAUUGAGGAUAACAGAAGGUUAAAUUUUAUUUUUACCACAAAUGAACACAUACAUAUAGUCUGGAUGUACAAAUUUUGCGAUAAACUUUUGUCUAUUCCAAGCCCUGUUGGCCUGAAUUUAUUAUGGUACUUGAAGUAUAUUCUUGUUGACAGGACAUGUUCAUGUUGCUGAAGCUCUUGGUGUACCCAUCCACAUCUUCUUCACAAUGCCUUGGACGUGAGUGCAGUCCCAUUUUCUGCAAUUUCUGUCCUCUUUUGUUUUUCUGAUUAAUGAGCUUAUGCAGUUUCCUUGAUAUCCUUACAAUCAAUUAAUUAGUCUCAACUGCCCUUAACUCUUGGAAUGUCCGAGUCAUUUUCUCAUAAAAUUGGGACUAAACUUGGAUUAAGUUUUCCUUUGCCUUCUCUUUCAAAGUGUUGAUGAAUAGGACUCCCCACCCGUUCUGCUUUUAUGAGGAGUAAUGUGUUAUUUUUUAUAAGUAGAGAAAAAUUUUCAUACAAGAGAUGCUCUUAGGUGCUCAAUAUCAUUUUCUUUGACAUUCAGCUCAUGAUGGAUUAUAUCUGAGCUUUCUUGCAUUUGGUUAUGAUGGGCAGGCCCACAUGUGAAUUUCCUCACCCAUUGGCACGUGUACCUCAAAGUGCUGGUUACUGGGUAUGUUUCUGUAUGUCCUGCCAACUUCUAAGUUUAAAUCAUGAGUUGUUCUAUCUAAUUUGUUCUUGUUCUACCUAGCUCUCCUAUAUAGUUGUGGAUUUACUUGUAUGGUGGGGAAUACGAGGAUAUAUAAAUGACUUCAGGAAAAAGAAGCUGAAGCUGUCUCCUAUUGCAUACUUCAGUAUGUAUCAUGGAUCAAUAUCCGAUUUGCCAACAGGCUAUAUGUGGAGCCCCCAUAUUGUGCCCAAGCCACACGGUAUGUCUGGUCCUUUGAUUGUCAAAGUGGUGCAUUCUUGUGUUAGUUAUGGUCUGUUGGACUAUAAUUUUUGGAAUAUUCUGCAUUAUUUUUUCUGCUGAAUACUAUUUGUAGCAAUUUUUGUACCCUUUUCAGCAUCUUGUUUGGAUCCAUAUUAUGCUUGUUUAUUUACAUAAAUGGAUCUCUUUUAAAUUGUAUGUGUACUAUCCGACAAAAUGACAUUAAGAGCAUUAUCACACUCCAAAUUUAGUGUAUUAAGGAUUACAAAAGAUGAGUAUCUUGAGUGCUGACAUCUAUAGUUUGGAUUUAUGUAUAAUUUUGUUGAGGACAAUGAGUCUCUAUUUUUGCUUAAGCAUUGUGUACUUAGGUCAUAAAGCCCUAAUAGGAGUUUUAAUGAACUGAACUGAACAAGUUGAUGAUUAAUAUUGCUAAAACUUGGUAUAUUACCUACCAAGUUUCAACAAGCUGUGUUCCACCUUAAGUUAUGUGUCAUUUGCUUCGUGCUUGGGUGAUCUUCUGCUGAACUAUCUCGAGUAGCUUAACCACCUUCAAUAUGAUUAUUGUAUUAUAUGCUUAUGGAGUUGAGAUAAUAAGCUUAUUAAGUAAAUGUCGCCAACGGUCUUCAAAUGUAGUUGGAUUAGUUUGCUAAUCUGUAUAGAAGAGUUCUUAAUGGCUGAAAUCUCCAUAGCUAAUUUCAAUAGUUCUUGGUCCCUCUGAUAUGUUUUUGUAACUUAGCCCAAUGGUUAAGGAAGUGGAGAUUAACUCAAUGUAUGGGUGCCAAUGCUCUUAACUUCGAUUUGUGAAAUGUAUUUGGAAUCCAAAUUUGCGAAUAAAGUUUGGGAUUGGAGUUUGUUUGAACAUUGAAAAAGAUGUGUAUUUUAUUAUUCAAGUUUGGCAUGUCAAGGGAUGUGAGAGGUAUGAUUGCAGAAAUAGAUUCACUAAAGUGUCAAACAUUUCAUUAAGCCAAAGCAGCUGGUGUCACAAGUUCAACCAGGAUGAAAGGAAUAUAGUUUAUGAGAUGAUAUCCUUUGAUGGGUAGGAGUUUACUAACUGAAUAUGGUUUCACUGACUUUUUUCAGGAUUUUCCAUUUCCUCCACUCUUGAUUUCCAUUCUUCACAGUUUCCUCUGAUUGUAGUUUUUGCAAACACUUCAAAGAAUUUAGUUCAUUGCAGCAGCAUGACAUAGCUGUUGAGAAAAAAUCAUUGUGAAAAUUGUUGGUUCACCAUCAUAUCCUUUGAAAAAAUUAUUCAUUUAAUUUAUUACCUUGCAGAUUGGGGGCCUCUUGUUGAUGUUGUUGGCUAUUGUUUCCUAAAUCUUGGCUCAAAGUUUGAGCCUUCGGAAAACUUUGUUAACUGGAUCCAAAGUGGACCGAAACCUAUAUAUAUAGGUUUUGGAAGUAUGGUAUGCUAUUUUUGUUUGAAGUUAUUGAUGUGCUUCAUCCUGUAUAUAAAUCUUUUUGUUUUAGUAGGAAAUCAAGUGAAAGAGUUAUAUCCUUCUUAUUUGACACUUGAAGAAGAACUGAAAUAUUUUUUUGCUUUGACUUUUUUUUUUGACACUUUCUCUGCUCUAAGUCAAAAAACUAGUCAGCAAAGUUUGGGUUGGUGAUUUGGUAUCGAUACUCUGCCAUGAAUAACUGAUGCAUAUUAAUUAAACAGUUCUUAAGCUUUGUGGUAUGGACAUUUUGUCUAUGAAAUAGAGGAUUGUGCAGAGACCAUUAACUUCUUUAUGAAGUGAUGUAGGUGCACGUGGCGUAGCUCAUGUCUUAUAAAGUUCUUUGUGUUUUGCAUUUGCAUGCUAUAAAUUUUUGUCACAAGUUCCUUAUUUUUCCCUAUUGCUUGUGAAGCCUCUUGAGGAUCCCAAAAAAACUACAGAAAUCAUUUUAGAAGCACUGACGAAUACAGGACAGCGGGGAAUAAUUGAUCGUGGAUGGGGAGAUCUAGGUUCUGGUAAGUUAUUUGGUUCAAUCUUGUCCCUUCAGUUGCCUCUUGCUCAAAUAUAAUGUGCUAUAGGUUCUUAAAAAUGUUGAUUCUCAUUUAGCAACUAAAUUGGGCUGAUCCAAUGGCUGCUUUUGCAACUUUCCCCAGCCCCUACUCCACCCACCCACAAGGGAAGAAAGGAAGAACAACACAAAGGAAGUAACAAAAGGACAUAGUGAGAGGUCCUGCCAAUCAGAAAGUGAAUUUGAAGAAGAAAAUGCUUCUGCUCUUUUUGAAGAAGUCACCCUUAAAACCUAGGGAAACACACGCAACUGAAAAAGACGAAGCCAAUUAGAAGACAUGCAGAAGCAUAAGAAAAAUUAGAAAAAACUUAGGCUUUCAAAUUUGCUCUCUUCUUUGGAAGUAGAUGCUCUAGAUGCAGCUACUUGUCUUACAGCCAUUACAGUUUUCAGUUUUUUACUUGUCUUAGCUUUUUACAGUCAUUAUAAUCAUUAAAUUUACCUAUCCUUGUAUAAUUUUUGGAGAAUGGCAGUCUCACAUCAUAUUAUGUAUGCUCUCCAAAUUGUUUUUGAGAAACUUGUUUUUCUAUAUUCUUUUGCAGUGGAAACUCCUGAAAAUGUUUUUCUUCUUGUUGAUUGCCCCCAUGAUUGGCUAUUCCCUCAAUGUUCAGCUGUGGUAAGUUCUUUUUUAACUAAAGUCUCUCCCCCUAUUAAAUAAGUAAAAGAUCUGUAUUGUUGAGCUCCUGCUGAGUUUGUGCAUAUAUAUAAGCGUGUGAAAUGUACAUAGAUCUAGCAAUGUCACACCCUUCUGGCUUGGAGUUGAGAGGCAGAGAGGAAAUGCCUUUGAUAGAUUACUCCGUGUUGACUGCGAUUAUUGAUGGGAUACUUUUUUGGGCCUGUCCAUCUUGCUUUUGUUUGAUCUUCUAAUGCACCUGUCAUAUACUGGGUAAUGCUGCCAUUCAGGUUCACCAUGGUGGUGCUGGAACUACAGCUACAGGAUUGAGGGCAGGGGUAACUUUUCUAUAUCACUGGCUUUUUAAAUUUAAGUUUUAGCACUUUUACAUAUCUGUGUCUUUUUAACUGUCUUUUCACAGUUUAUAUCAUGUCAUAUUCAUAGCAAAUGAUUCUCUUUGUGAAGCAAGUAGUUGUUCAUUUCAUGUUUGACCUAUUACACUUAAUAGUGCCAUUUCCAUUUUCUACAUUUUAUUAUUUUAAGGUGUAUUUUGUCUCAUGUAAGUUCAAUUAUGUGAUAUGCAGUGUCCAACAACCAUAGUUCCAUUCUUUGGGGAUCAGUUUUUUUGGGGUGAUAGAGUUCACCAAAGAGGACUGGGACCUGCACCGAUUCCCAUAUCUGAAUUGAGUGCUGAAACCCUCUCAGAUGCCAUAAGAUUUAUGCUCCAGCCGGAGGUUGGCUGCUAGUUGUGCUAUUUAUUUACUUAUUUAUUUAUUUAUUUAUUUUGUUUUGCAUCUCCUUUUUCUCAUGUUUUCUUUGGUACGUAGCAUAAUCAUGUUAAAUUGGCGUGAAAUGAGGUUAUUUUUAAACCUCCCACUAGUACGUUUUCGGAAAACCUUGUCUGUUAUUCCUUGUAAAAUAGACUUCUUAGCAAGACAUUUGCAUUCCUAUUUCUCAUUUUAACAUCUGAUGUUGAUGUGUCGUAAAAAUUGCUUCAAUAACGGCAUUUUCUGCUCUGAAGUAUCAUGAUAGGAAUUUAGCUUUCAAUGAUCAGGGUUUUGAUCGAUUCUAAUCCCCUGCAGACAAAAUACCUUUUAGAGUAAGCAUAAACAUCUUCAUGAUGUUUGCAUUCCCUAUUGUUAACAAAGCAAGUUUGUGUUCUCUAUUUUUAGACAAAAGAUUAUGUAAGACACAGAACAUGAAGACAGAAAGAGGUUAUGUUUCAUAGAUUAGUUAUGGAGUCAUUAGGUAAUCUUAUCAGAGCAUAGAAGUAUGCUCUUGUUGAUAUAUAAACCGAGAUGCAUUGCAAGCGUAUAAUCCCUGGUUAGGAGAGGAGAUAGGAGUGGGUUCCUUGGCUUUUCAUGGGACGGAAGGCCAACAAGGUUUAGUAAUAUACUGGCUUGGGGUUGAGAAUAUUUUUGAUAACGGCAUUCAACUUAGUUACGAUGAACGAGGUGCUGUGUUCUUCUACAUGUGUGGUUAAGAGGAUCACAAAUUACUGGAUCUCUAUAUGUAUGAAUGACCUGAAGUUAUCAAUUUAAUAGAUCUAAAUGAUCUGUGGGUUUCAUGAGCUUUAGAUGUGUAGGACAAUCUGCUAUCAUGGCUGAGGGAAUUGGCCUCCGAUGACCACUUUAAAGACUUGGAACAGGGAAAUAAAAUUUUUGCAUUUCUGUCAAAGUUCAACAUACUCUAUCCUUGCAGAAAAUUUGCCUUUUUUCUUUGUUUUCUGAUGAAACAUUCGGCAUAUCAACUAGAAACUAUAAUCCCCCAUCCCCCUCCCUGCUUAAAUCCCACCCCUCUUCUUCUAGAAAAAAAAUUAACAAAAAAUCUAGAAACUGUAAUCCCCUAUAUACUAUGUUCUCCUUCUCAAAGAUGAAUUGUUUACGACUUUACACCUUCAUCAUCCUGUUCUUUCGUUGUUAGUUGUAAACUCUCUUUUGGUAAUCACCAUAUUUUGACUCACAUCAGCCUGCUCCUGUUUGAGAGAGGUCUGCAAUAUCUAUUGCCUCUAUAUGCUUGCAAAUAUUAACUGAAUCUCUUCCAGGUAAAAUCUCUGGCUAUGGAACUAGCAAAGUUGUUAGAAAAUGAAGAUGGUGUUGCGACUGCGGUUGAUGCAUUUCACCGGCACUUGCCUCCAGAAUUACCAUUACCAAUUGCAUCAACAGAGGACAAUGAUCAUCCAAAUUUCUUGCAGUGGCUGUUCAUUCAAAUUGGCAGAUUAUGCUGUCUGCCCUGUGGUUCCUAGAAUUUCUGCUGCAACAUCAGUAGUGAUUUUUGUAGAUAUAGUUGUAUGAUUUGGUCUCUAUUGAUAGUUGAUUAGUAGUGUCUUAUUCAUUCAUUUUAUUGAUCCACCCUUCUGUGGGGUUGGACAGUGGUCAGUAUAUAGGCUUUCAAACUUUUUUUUUUUUUUUUUAAAAUUUUGGGAGAAAGGCUAGAGUGGAAUAGAAGAACUAGAGUAUUGUUUUGACUAGUAGGUUGAGGCAUAGAACUUGAAAAAAGGAAAAAAAUGAGACAAUUAUUCUGUAUUAUACUGGGUGCAGUUUAUCACUGGAUCCUAGUUUUGUCAUUUCCUUCUUGUGUCAUUAUCUAAUUUCCAUCUGUCCCACUUUCAACACCGUUGAUAAAGAACCCAAUUUUCUUUUACAUGAUGCUAAUUUGGUAACAUAAUUGUUUUUGUACAAGAAGUUUUUGACCACCACCAUCUAAUGCACCUUAGAUAUAUAUGUGUGUGUGUGUGCAUAUAUAGCAACAAUCAUUUCUUAUAUAUCUUGAUAUCUCUCCACCUUGAUUCCAUGUAGCUGCUUGAAUUAGCUGGUGCAGCAUAAACUCCACACUUGAAGUACAAGUCACCUGGCCCCUGAUCAUUCUUCACAAAUUUUUGAACACCAUCGAUGAAAACAGUGAUUUUUCCUUCAUCUACGUUGUGGAUUACGUUUAAUCGAAACCAUUUAUCGUAUAGAUUUGUGUUAACCACUUCAAACUUGUAAUAUUUCAUGUCACCUUCGUAGAUCCUCAGUUGGAGACUUGUAGCACCAACUCUUGCACCAUGAAUUUGCAUUACUGUCACUCCAGAAGUUGCUUUAGGAACGUAUGCAUGGCCUUCAAAUUGCCAAACUCCAGAAGAGUAGUCAAGACCCUAGAGAGAGAGGGGGGGGGGAAAGAUCGGUAAAAAUACCGGGUAUUAUAGGAAAAAAAAAAAGAAUUAGAACACGAGUUUUUUUAUUAAAAUUGGAUUGUCUGGAAUCUUAUUUUUACUAGUGAUUAAGGUACGCUCGAUGGGUUUGCAUCUAAUAAAAUUAAAAAUAUUUAUAAUUAUCAUUUUCAUUCCAAAUGGAAGUAUUAAAACGAAAACAAAAUGGUGUGGACUAAGGUGAUUCCAAAAAUAGGAAGAAAGGAAAAGAAAAAAAUAGUCGUGACUAAUAUUAUUUGUUUUGCAUUUUAACAUCUCUGCCAUAAAUUGAAGCUUCUGACAAACUGUCUAAUUUUGAAGAGCGCAGAAAAAGUGGAUAAAUAUGAAUGAGUUCAAAACACAAAAGAUGGGAAGAUAAGAAGAAGUUAAUGGUAGAUUUUUUGUUCUUUUUUUUUUCUGUUAGAAAAUUUGACCAUUUUACAAAAAGGGAAAAAAAUAAAAAAUGACGUAGUCUCAGGCUCUAUAUAUAUAGUCAAUCUACAAAAAGUAACUGAAAAUCAAAAUUAUGAUAUUUUUAAGUGAUAGAUAUAAAUAUAAAAAUCUCUAAAAUCAAGGAGGUGGAUCAUCUUUUAGUUUGUUUCUGUCACUUAAAAUCGUAUGCUGUUUAGUAUAGGAUUUCACACACACACACACACACAUAUAUAGAUAUCUUUUUUAUAACAAAGUGGUGAGAAAAUAUACAGAAUUACAUGGUAGAAAAGUGACCUUAAUUCGGACUUCAGUGCGUGGUCUGGUAGUAGUAUCAGGUUUAAAGGGCUUGUCAUUGGUGUAAACCCAUAGUCUCCUCACUCCAUUUUGAUAGCUGUAUCGAUCAUUGAGCGGUACAUUGUAUGGCUUCUGCAGAUCAAAAUUUCGAUCAGUUAAUGGUAUCUCAGUGAACCCAUCUGUGGGAUCAGCAAGACAUGACAGAAUUCGACCCGUUGAGGAAAUCAAAACUAGGAAUAACAGUAGACUAUACAAGCAAGAAAUGCCCAUUUUUCUGGAAAUUCUUGAUCUUUCUUUUAACUCUUUUGUUUGAUGAUUGAAGUUGAGAAAUUUCAUGGCUCCAUUUAUAUAGGAGGAUUCUUAUUGUCUGCAUGAAAAGGAGAUGUUUCCUAAGGUUCUUCUCCGCAAUCAUAUUAAUUUCUAGGUAAUUUGUGUAUUACUAAACGUGAAUGGUACGUAAAUUUGUUGAAAUCCAGGAUGAAUUUUUGGGUCUCUUCAGAGACGGUUGACAGAUAAUAUUGUUGCAUUGCCAGGGUGGGGAAUUGGGGUAACAUUUUAUCUGUUGUAUAAUUUUCUGGCAUUUUAUAUAAAGGGUCAUUUUCUCUGUUGUAUAAUUUUCACCAAUGUGAAACAGGGGAAGAUUGAAUAUACAGACAACUGCUGUGCCUUAUUCUCUCAACCAUUUGUUCUCGUACUUUGUUCCACAUUAAAUUUGUAGAAUUUUGCAGCGGCCUUCAUUUAAAUUCAAGAACAUGGAAAGAAAUCCAAUUAAAUUCUCUAGGAUAAACAAUUUUUUCAGACUAAAACCCAUAUGUCAUGAGUGCACAAAUCACUUGUAUGCCUUGAUCCAUAAUAAUGAACGAUGCAUAAUUAUUCAAACUUUUUUCGUACUUCAAAAAAAGAAAAAUCACUUGUACAAUAUCCUCAUCUAAAUGGUCUUCCUUUUCUGAGUUCAAAGUUUAGUUUGUAUCACUCUGAGAAAAUGAUUAUUGAUCUUGUAGUCGGAAAAUGAGAGAGAGGAGAUUGAUAUUCAACUGAUAUUUUUAAUGAGGAAAAUAAUAUGGAUCAUGAAGAUUUCAUGCCUAAGAAACUCUGUGCUAUAAAUAUUUUGAUGCUUCUACAAUUGUAUAGGGAGUUAGUAUUCUUUAAUUAUAGAGGAGGUCUUUCUCUUAUAUGAACCAAUAAACAUAUAUGAUUUUAGGAUUUUUAAGAAACCAGGGAUGACAUAGCACAACCUUCGAAGUCUCAACCCUUAGGAUAAUAAGCUGAAAUUUCUUUUUUCUUUUUUAUCAUUUUCUACAAGAUGGAUUUAGUCAUAAAUUGUGAAGUAGGAAAUAUUGCAAAAUGCUUUGAAUAGAACCAUUCCAAGCAUAACUUGACCUACACUUAAUGAAAUUAACAACCAUUCCAAGCACUAUGGAAUAGUUAUUCAAUGCCUUAUUAGAAAUUCAUUUUCUAAUUGUGUGUUAGUGGUGAUACUUUUGAUUGCUUUAAUUCAUGUCAAUUUAAUCUGAAAUAGAACACAAGCACGUAGAAUAAUGAAUUACCACCACCUCACAGUAUUUCGCAACACAGAUGGAAAACAAGAACUUCAAUCGCAUCACACGAACUGAUACAUAUUAGGAUUUAUAUAAACUCAACAACAUUCUUCUUACAUAUUAGAUACAACUCAAACAACAAUUGGACGUACAUUUGGUGCAAACUCAUAAUUUCCAUCUUGAUGGUAAAUCACUUCUUGUAAAUCUUGAUAUCCCUCCAACGUGAUUCCAUGUAAUAACUGAUAUCUCUUGGUGCAGCAUAAACUCCACACUUGAAGUAGAAUUGUGAACGCCCUCGAUCUUGUGUCUGAAACUUUUGCUGAUCAUCAAUGUAAACUGUGACCGUGCCUCCCUCCACAGCAUGGAUGAGAUUGAGCUUGAACCAUCUGUCGUACAUGCCAGUGGCAAUCACUUCACCGCUGUAAUACCUCAUGUCACCAUUGUAGAUUCUCAGAAUUAUGGUGGAUGAAUCAUGGGCUGCACCAUGAAUUUGUGCUACUGUUGCACCAGAGGUUCCAUUCGGCACGAAUCCAUAGCCUUCAAAUUGCCACACUCCUGAAGUAUAGUCAAGUCCCUGCACAUAAAUUUUUUGUUAAAAAAAAAGGAAGAAGAAAAAAUCAAAACUGAUCAUAAGUUCGUACUUUAGAACCAGUUACAGGUUCACACUCACAUGACAAAGGCUGGUGUAUUUUUUACUCAAAUGGUAACUAUGGAAAGAAUGUACUACUACUUGGUAAACUCCAAAACUAAGGGAAAGUAGGAGAUAUUGAGACUCUAGUCAAGCAAAAACUAUAGUUAUGAAUAAAAGUUUUCACCAAAUGCGUACUUCACCCUCAGGAAGCUAGGAACUUGAAUAGAAAAUGUUGAUUGAAUUUUUUGAAUGACACACGAAAAUCCCAUGUUCUCAAGAAUUACUACUGUCGAAAACAAAAUAUCUUGACUAACGCCUCCGCCUGUUAAAACGCAAGCGAACAGGAGAAAAGAUAAUAAGACUAUGAUGCAGUGGUAUUUGAAGCAUUGUUAUGGGGGAAAAAAAUUGAUUUACGUGAAUGCGAACUUCCGUGCGUGGUUGUGUCUCGCUAUUAGGGCUAUGUGGCUUAUCAUUAGCAUAAACCCACAUCUUCCGAAUCCCAUUUUCGAAACUGUAUCGUUCAUCCAAUGGCACAUUGUAUGGCCUCUGGAUUUCAAAGUUUGCUUCUGUUAAUGGCACAUUUGUGAAACCAUCAGUGGGAUCAGCUGAACUUUGGAGAAAAGAAUUGAUGACCAGAAAUCCCACGAAGCAGACAACAUUCUUCACAGAAGAAUUCAUGUUUCCAAACUUUUUGCCCUUUUCCCAACAAUUGCUUAAGUAUCUUCUUCCAAGAAGCCGCGGUCUAGUAAAUAUAUAUAGGUAAGAAAAUGGAACAAUGAAAUGUACUACUAGAGGUUGGAGUUGGACUUACCUGGACCUAUGUUGGUAUUUCCUUGCGUAAAGAAGCAUAUUUUGUGAUGGUGACCUGGUUGACGAAAUUAUUGGACGUUUCACAGGAUAAUGUUUGUGGAAAAGAUUCUUUUUCCAUCUUGGGUGGAUCUAGUUGCGGGAACAUUCAUAGUUCAUCAAACUUCAGGCCAAACAACAAGAAGGGCUUAAAGUUAUUGGUGACAAGAACUGGUAUUGAACAAGAGAAGAAUAAAUCUGGCUUGCAUACAACUUAUUAGGCUAAAAAACAAAGGCUAAUAUAUUUUAUAGGGAAAAUUACACUUUACCCCCCGGUGGUUUAGUAUUUUUUACAUAAGCCCUAUGAUUUCAAAAGUUAUAUAUAAUUUUCUCAUGGUUUGGAUUAAAAUGUCAAAGUAACUGAACUUGGAAUCCAUAAUGAAGUCACUUAAACUGUCAAAAAUACCCCUAUGUAACAUUGAAAAUUAUUUAUUAAUCAUAGGAGGGUUAUGUGUAUAUUUUGAAAAUCAUAAGAGAGUUAUAUGAUAAAACAUUAAAUUAUAAGAGAGUUAUAUGGUAAAAUAUAAAAUCAUACAGGGUUAGUGCGUCAUGUAUAGUAUGUUUAUAUAUUUUGAUCACUUCAAUCAUUUUAAUUUUUAAAUAAGGGUAAUUUCGACAUUUUUAAAUGUUCCGUUACGAAUGAUGUUUCCGUCACUUUAACACUUUAAUCCAAAUUAUGAGGGAAUUAUGUAUAGUUUUUGAAAUCAUAAGAGAGUUAUGUACAAAAAUACUAAAUUAUAGGGGUUAAAAUGUAAUUUGCCCUAUUUUAUAUACACAAACUUACUUCGUAAUGCACCACUCUUUUUAUUAUUAUUAGUAUUGGAAUGUGAUAUUAUUUUAUCUCCACUGUUCAAAAGCUUUGCAAAAACCCAAUUUUUGAAUUGUUCAAGACCGCUGGAGCUUCAAUUAUCGACCUUUAAAUUAACCCACAUGAACUGAACGAAGUGGUCCAUUAGGUAAAUUUUUUUUCCCCCUAAAGACAGUAGAGAAUAAAGAAAAGAGAAGACAGACAGAAAGGAAGCAGAAAAAAGAAUAAAAGGCUACUAAAGUUACAAGUUGUUUCGAACUUAUAAUGAAUAAGAUAAUUUGUGUGAUAUGUAAAAUCUAAUCAAACCUAAUUAAAUCGGGUUAUAUAACUAUCAAUCCAAGUUCACCCUUUAUUUGUCAGCUUCUCACGGAUACCGUUUAAUUGUGUUUUCCCCAACUGAUGAAUUUAAGUCAUAUUGCAGUAAAUUUACUAGUCGUAUCCAAAUCAAUUCUUUUUUGAAUUGUAUCCAAAUUAUUUGAUAGAUUAAGACACAAAUACUUAAGUAAUCUUUUGGCUAAUUAUGCAACGCGUUAUACUGCCCAACCACAAGAUUUAAAUUGUAUUCUACAAAUUGGGAGUUCAUGUCCUUUUUUUUCAGAAGAAAAAAAAAAUGAGAAAGUAGCCAAUAUAAUAUGGUGUUUUGCAAUCAUCUUCUUUUAAAUAGAGCAGCAUGGAAACAAAUAUUCCACAGGUUAUUGUCCCAUCUGCAAGGUUUCUCGUAAUCUCUGACAGAUUCACCUUUCAUACAAUUUGACUGUUAGGUGAUCAGCUAAGAUUUAAAGAAAUUCAGAUUUAUUGGUGCAUUUUUUUUUAUCAAAAGAAAAAAAAAUCUGGAAUCUCGCUCACUAUGUAAAUAUCUUUCCAAAUUGAUUUUAGGGAUAAUUUUAGAAACCUCCCCUGAGGUUUCUAACAAUUUCACAAAGCUCCCCUUAAUAUUUCAAAAUUGCACAUACCUCCCCUAUUGUUGCAAAAGUACUCUACUACCCCUAUAUGGGAUACUUAAUGACAUUUUUUUUUUUUGGAAAAUUUCAGAAAUUCCAAGAAAGACCAAAAUUGACUUUGGCACCAAGUGAUGGAUUUAAUUGACUUGUGUAGUAAAUGUAAGGGCUGGAGUUACUGGACAUAAAUUAGGUUGUAGUAUUUUGAGUGCUAAAAUUAUUGGAAUUUAUCUUGAUUUAAAUUGGGGUGUUAUUUGACUUUUGUGGUGGCGUUGCUUGAAAGAAGGCAAUCAUCAUAGUUGAAUUUUUGUUCCAAACUUUUAUUUUUGGCAGAAAGAGUUUGUUUGCUUAGGUGUUGGAAGAAAGGCAAUUAACAAAUCUCUUUUUAUUUUUCCUUUUUAUCUUUUUGACAAAAAGGGUAGUUUAGGAUAUUUGAAGGAAUUGGUAGCCUAUUAGCAUAAAUAGUGAAAGCAAGGGAGGUGAGUGUAAUUUUUGAAACCUAAGAGGAGUUUCCUGAAAUUGUUAGAGACUCCAAGGGAGGUUUAUGAAAUUAUCCCUUGAUUUUAUUUUCAGAAUGUUGGUUCCUUCUUGCAAUGAUUGAACGACUGCUCGACUACGAGUAUCUAUGUUUUUCCUUUUGAUUGAUUUACAACCUUAAUUAAUUUCUAUUAAUUAAGCCAGAAUUCUGAAGUUCAUUUGUACUCGAAAGAUUUCUUUACUCAUAAUCUACCAAGAUUGAAAUUGGAACCAUCCUCGUCUAUGCCCAGCAUGCAUUUUCAGGGCUUCUACUUUCUAGAGUAAUUCUUUUUGUUUUGGUACUCCCUUUUCUUGUCUCAUAAACUCUGCAGCUCUCUUGCUUUUGUGCAAAAGGUUUUGGGAUAAUUUCAAAAACCUCCCUCGAGGUUUCCAACAAUUUCACAAAGCUCCCUUAAGGUUUGAAAAAUUACACUUGCCUCUUUUGAUUUGAUAGUUUUAGCAACAAAACCUUAAAAUAAUAUUGACUUGGUCAAUUUUUUAAAUGAAUACCCAACAAUGCCCUUGUGCAAUGAGUUUUAAUUUAUUUUCCUAUACAAUUAUAAGAUUAUUUAGUAUAAUUAUAAGGAAAAUGUGCCAAAUUUUUCAUGUCCAUAUCGACUAUUUGAUAAACAACUAUAAUAAUAAUUUUAUUACUAUGAUAUGAUAUUUUUUAUGAUAUUUUGUUAUAGAUUUAAAUUUAUAAGAUAGAAAAGAAAAUAUUGAAAUAAUUCAUUUAGAGUUUAUGAAUUUUUAGAGUAGUGGGAUUAUCAUAAUUUAGAAGUGCUUUUGGGCUAUUUCUUUUUGAUUUAUUGUUAAUUUUAAUAACAAAAAUAGAAAACAAAGAUGAGCAAAAACAUUAGAUUACAUAUAAAAUUAAUUCAUCAAAAAAAUCACUAGUUCGAUAUUUGAUAGUUCUAGAGAUAAUAGUGGUAGUUGUACAGUUUUAUUGGCAAAAAAUUAAAAAGAAUGAAAAAAAUGAAAAAAAAUUUAAAAAUCAUUCAAAAUAUAAGCAUACCAAAUAAGGGAAUUUUAUUAAAAUAUUUAAGGGUAAAAUUGUCAUUUUAAAUGACAAGGUAUGUGUAAUUUUUCAAAUUUCAGGGGAGCUCAAUGAAAUUAUAGAAACUUUAGGGGAGAUUUCUGAAAUUAUCCCAAAGGUUUUUAACCUUAGGAUUUGAUGCAUUUCUGGUUCCUCUGUUCAUGUAGUGAAACAUAAUAAUAUUAGCCAGCAAAACAAUUAAUAAGAGGAAUGAAGAAAUCAGUAAUAUGGUCUUCACGAGUAGAAAGAUGUGCUUAAUAAUCAACUUCAACAGAGACUACUUGGAUAGAGUAAUUGCGUGAAAACUAUGCCAAAAAUUAGGAUGCUUGAUCAUGUAGCUACGUCUAGUCAGAUUUAUGAUAAAGUAUUUGCUGUUCAGUAACAAAUGGAAGCCAUACAAACUAAAAAAAAAAAAAAAAAAUUUAUGGAGGCUGAUUAAUAGUAAGAAUAAUUUUUACCACUUAAAAAAAAUGAAAGUAAAAACAUUAAUUAUGUUUGUAUUGAGCAAUAACUAGACAUCCAUAAUUAGGGCUGUCAACGGGCCGGGUCCGGGCCGGAAUUCAUUAUUCCGGACCCGGACCCGAAUUACUAUGCCGGACCCAGACCCGACCCGUUUAUCCGACGGGUCUUUUAUUCUAUGUUCCGGAUCCGGAUCAGGCGGGUCCGGCGGGUCCCGGAUCCGGAUCCGGGUCUACCCGAACAAAUUUAGCAAAAUUUAUAAUUUCUAAUAAAAAUGAAAAAAAAUAUAUUUGUAAACUAAUUUUUAACUAAUGCAAAGAAAAAACCAAAUAAGAAAAGAAAUCAAAUUAACUUUAUUAAAAUACAUCACUCUAAUCAAAUUAUAUUGAUAAAUAUAUAUAUUUAAAAUUAUUAAUUCAUUUAUAUCCGGAUCCGGGUCUAAUACGGGCCGGAAUACUAUAUUCCGUAUCCGACCCGUUUUUUGUUUGACAAAACGGAUCCGGAUCCGGAUCCGGAAAACGGAAUUAAAUCCCUACCCAUACCCGCAAUAAUUUCACGGAUCCGGUCCGGAUUCGGGUCUAGACCCGACCCAUUGACAGGCCUAUCCAUAAUACUAGUUGCGAGGAUCCCAUGACUGAGAAUGUGUCAAAACAGAGAGAGGGAUUGCGAGGGCUAAUAUGUGUAUUGCUGAAAGUCAUGAAAGCCGGUACAUAUACUGUGUCUAUAAUAUGUUAUCCAUUGUUUUUGAACUAUAUCACAAAUUAUUCAGAUUCUUCGGACAUCACUCUUUAUUUCAAGAAAAAAGAAAGAAAGAGAAAAAAAAAAAAAAAAGAAGAAGAAAGGCUGGCCAGAAAACAUCUUCAGAAAAUUUUUGUACAUGAUUAGGAGAAUUAUUUUCACUUUUUGUAUAUUUUGAUAUCUCUCCACCUAGAUUCCAUAAAAUAGCUAAUAUUGGUUGAUGCAGCAUAUACUCCACAUUUAAAAUACAAAUCUCCAGGCCCUCGAUCUUUUGUUUCCGCUUUUUGUUCCCCAUCAAUGUAAACAGUCACUCUUCCUCCAUCCACAUCAUGGAUCAAAUUAACUUUGAACCAUUUAUCGUACAUUUGAGUAGCCAAAAUGCCCCUAACUGCACCACAAUAAUAGUUCAUGUUUCCAUCGAUGAUUCUUAGCAUUAUAGUUGUUGCCCCAUGGGAUGCUCCAUGAAUCUGAACUAUUGUAGCGCCAGAUGUACCAUUUGGCACAAAUCCAUACCCUUCAAAUUGCCAUACUCCAGAUGAGUAGUCAAGUCCCUGCAUGUAUGGAAACGAUCAAGAUAUAUAUAUACAUAUACAUACAUGUAUAUAUAUAUAUAUAUAUAUAUAUAUAUAUAUAUUGACACUAAGCAGUUUUGGUGAUUUCAACUCCAAUCACCAUCACAAGUUAGGACAUGCUUUGCUUUCAAGUGAUGAUCAAGAUUAUAAAGAUCAUGCAUAAGGGUUAUGCUAUACUCAAAUGCAAAAGAAAAAGAAAAUCAACUAUCAUUCGGAAUAACCAAUCUAUAAUCCUAUGCUAAAUAUUUAGCUUAAUCAAGAUAACUGUUUCUAUGCUAAAAAGAAAAAAAAAAAAAAGAUAACCGUUUCUAUAGAGUUAAUUGUUUUUUUAAAAAGUACUAGUUUCAAGCGGUUUCGAAUCUUCUGUUCCCAAAUUAGUCUCUAUCCUCUCUGUCCCUUCUUUGUAUAGUUGCCACGUGUUUCUAACUUUUUGAUAACCCAAACUCAAACAAAUCGAAAAUCAUCAGUUGACAAGUUUACUUAAAACCAAUUAAAAUAGAUAACUCAAACUUUUUUGCCUUUGGAUAAAUCAAGCGGUUCCAAUAACUCAAAACUAUUUUUUUUCUUUGGAUAAAUCAAGCGGUGGUUCCCUAAUUAGAAUUUCUUCAACUCUAGUUUACAUGAAGAAGAUUGCAAGUUUUGGUUUUGAGUAAACUUGUCAACUGAUUAUUAUCGGUUUGUUUGAGUUUGGAUUAUCAAAAAGUUAGAGAUAGGUGGCAACUAUACAAAUAAGGGACAGAAGGGAUAGAAUCUAAUUUGAGGACAAAUGAUUCGAAACCGUUUCAAGCUGCUGCUUAACAGAAUACAUCUUUGAAAAAACGACUUAAUAUAGUAGAAGUAACCUAUAAAGCUACCACAUUGAAAAUCAAAAGUUUUUCAAAGAAUAGAAAAGUUAAUAAGACAUAAUGCUUUGGAAAAUUGUCAAAUUUGCCGAGAAACAUCAUAUAUAUCUAACGACAUUAAUAUGAAGCAAGCAUAUUAUUAGGCAGGAGAAGGUACAAAAGCAAUUGACAAGUUCAGGUUUGGCUUUUUCCUUGCUAACGAAAUUGAGGGUAUCAAAUUUAUUUAUUACGGUAUCUAAGGGACCAGGGUCAAUAAUAUCCUCUCGAAUUUUCCAAUUGAAGCGAAAACAAGAAAAGUCAAGAACAAUAAUAUCCCAUUCUGUAAGAAUAACGACAUGUAUAGGUACUUAAUUCUGAAUAUACAAACUAUAGAUAGCGGAGAAUUUUGAAUGCAAAAAUAUGGUGAUUUUUGAGGGAUGAGAUAUUUACCUUAACUAACCUUUAUAAAAUGUUAUCUAAAAAAAUAAAACAGAGAUUAAUUAUUCGUCAAUCAAUGAGCAGAUACAUAGAGGAAUAAAUUAAAAUGCAAAACUAUGGUCAGUUCUGAUGAAUGGGAAAAAGUUACCCUUAUCCGAAUUUCAGUCCGUGGCAUUGUGUGACUGUUGGGAUUAUGUGGUUUAUCAUCAGCAUAAACCCACAACCUGCGAGUUCCAUUUUCAUAAGAAUACCGCUGAUUCAAUGGUAUAUCAUAUGGCCUCUGAAUCUCAAAGUUGUAUUCUGUUAAUGGGACAUUUGUGAACCCCUCAGUUGGAUCAGCAACAGAUUCCAUAAAGACAUUAGUGUAUAAGCUCAUUAAUGAUGUUAAGAAAACCACAUUUUGUAUAGAAAAUUUCGUCAUUAUUUCCACCCACUCCACUUCUUUACUGGAAAAAUUUUGAGGAAGAAAACUGUUGAGCUAUAUAUGGUUAGGCAAUUAUCAAGUAUUAAUAAGGGAACAAGAUUUGAACGUUUGAUUUUUUAAAGUGUGAUGGUGUAAAAUUAAAUUUAUUAAUCAACCUACUCAUCAUUGCGUCACAAUAAAUUUUAUUUAGGUACAAAUUGAAAAUGCAUGAGCCAAUUGAUUGUCUGAUGCAGGUUAGUAGGACUGCACGAGCACUUUAUCAGUGUUUUUUUUGACUGUUUUUAGCGUUCCUGCUCCAAACCCUCUAAUCAUUUGCAAAUAACUAAAACAUAUGACAAUGACAGGGCAAAAGAUGAUGACCCAAAGUGGCCAAAAAUUAGCAUCUAACAAGUUAUUGAUUGGACUUAUUUAAGAUUUUUGGUAGAGAAAAUUUCAAACUUUGCAGUCUCAAUGUGAAUGAGUAUAACUUUUGGUGGAUGCAUGAUCUACUGUGACAUAAGCAUCUUUGGAAAAUUUCAACUUAUUGUAAUGAAUAAAAUUCAUUACUAAUUUACUAUGACUAGUCCUAGUAUUGGGUGGUGUGGUUCGUGAACAAUACAAAUAGAGUCGGUAAUGUAUAAUUUUUUGCAUGAUGAAAUCAGGUAUACCCAAAUCCUUUCAAUUAUUCUGCGAAUCUGAAGCUUUCUUGCUGGAUUUAGCAGUAUGUUUGUGCCCCUCUGUAACAUUGUCUGGCUGUUAGUCACUUUCUGGGUCAACAUGUUGAGGCAUGCACACCCGUGAUUGUGUAAAAUAUACUUGCUCUUUGAUCCCUGGGACAAGAAAUGAUCAUUGCCGUAUCAACGAUUGCUGAAUUUUUUACCAAUUGAAGUCAUCAGGCUAAAAUCUUGAGUAUUUUUUAACAAUGAUCAAAGAUUUAUGGAUCAAAUUACUCUUUCACUAUUUUUGACUCUUUGGCUUUUUCCUCCUGUGGGAUUUGUUUGAAUCAUUGGAAAAAAAAAAAAAAAAAAAGAACAGACACAGAAAGAAUAGUGAAUAGAACCUAGAUUUUCUGGUCAAAAGAUUGGCUCCUUAAUCCAUCCUUGCAGCAUUGGUCUACCAUUAGCUCAGAUUUCAAUCCUAUAUAUCCACUUAGCUUACAUUUGUUGCUUCGUAAAAACUUUUAUUAAUGAAAUUUUAUAGGGUAAAUUACAUUUUACCCCCCUAUGGUUUACCCUUUUUUUACAUAACCUCCCUAUGGUUUCAAAAGCUAUACAUAACCCCCUCAUAAUUUGGAUUAAAGUGUCAAAGUAACAGAAAUAGUCACUCGUAACGAAACUUCUAAAAAUGUCGAAAUUACCCUUAAAAUACAUGACACAUUAAUCCCGUGUAAUUUUUAUAUUUUACCAUGUAGUCCCCUUAUGAUUUAAUGUUUUACCAUAUAACCUCCUUAUGAUUUUCAAAAUAUACACAUAACCCCCCUUGGUUAAUAUAUAAAUUUCAACUUUAUAUAAGGGUAUUUUUGACAUUUUAGGUGACGCCGUUAUGAAUGAUCAUUCCCGUCACUUUGACACUUUAAUCCAAAUCAUAAGGAAGUUAUGUAUAGUUUUAUGUGGAAAAAAUGCUAAAUCACAGGGGGGUAAAUUGAAAUUUGCCCAAUUUUUUGUGUUACGGAAGUCUGUAACUAAUGUUCAUUGGGACACAGAUGGUAUAGCCACGUUUAAUCUGUUUGAAUUUUACCAGAUGAGAAAUUAUUCCUGCAACAUAUAAUUUCUACCUUAAUUGGAGCACCAGAUAAUUAUUCACUUCAGAUAAUUAUUCACUUCUUACUACUGUUAGAGCCAAUUAGCUAAGCGAUUAAGGUUGAGAUCUCAAAAAUUUGAUGUACCAACUUAAAGUCUAUUCUAAUUAGAUAAUAGUAAGUGCUCAUUCCACUACUUGCGGAUCAACUGGUUGUAGUGGUACUGUUCAAUUGUAAACAGUACAUAUUGAUUUACUUUGUAAUCAUAUCAAUCAAGUAUUAAUCUUCUUGGAUUUCAGGUUUAUAAUUAGUUGCAUGAGGACCGUUUUAGGACAUAGCACCACCGUAUUAUAAAAUGUGAAAAAAAAAAUGUACCAGUCCUAAGUACAGUUUAGACACAAUACUUGCACUGGCAUAAAAUGCAAGUAAUAAUUAAACAACAAGGAUAAUUUUAUUUUCUCAAGCAAAAGAAAUACAGUUGUAAUUAAUUCUUAUUUUUCCCCUGGGUAAAUCAUCCUCCCUUUUUUGUAUAUUUUGAUAUCUCUCCACCUUGAUUCCAUAUAAUAGCUAAUGUUCUUCGGUGCAGCAUAGACUCCACAUUUGAAGUACAAAUCUCCAGGCCCUUGAUCAUGAGUCUCAAACUUUUGUACACCAUCGAUGAAGACUGUCACUUUUCCUCCAUCCACAUCAUGGAUCAAGUUAACCCUGAACCAUCUAUCAUAAAGGCCAGUGUCUACAAGUUCACUACUGUAAUACCUCAUGUCACCGUCAUAAAUUCUCAGAAUUAUAGUUGUUGCACCGUGAGAAGCUCCAUGGAUUUGCACAAUUGUUGCACCAGAUGUCCCAUUUGGCACAAAACCGUAUCCUUCAAACUGCCAAACUCCAGAUGAGUAGUCAAGCCCCUGCAUGAUGAUUGAAAUCGAAACUAUUCCUAUUAGAUGAGUCUAGCUUCCAAUUCAAAGCAACACAUUUUUGCAUAUGUGGCAUGCAUUUACCUAUAAACUUGCUGUUUUAAAUAGACCUGACCUUAAGUCAGUAUUCUGAAAAGGAAAAAAAAAAAAGGUUUUGGUUACCUGAAUUCGAACUUCUGUUCGUGGUUGGGUGUGACUAUUGGGGUCGUGAGGUUUGUCAUCAGCAUAAACCCACAAACGGCGAGUUCCAUUCUCGUAGCUGUAUCUUUCUUCGAGUGGCACAUCAUAUGGCCUUUGAAUUUCGAAAUUAGCUUCUGUCAAAGGGAUGUUUGUGAAUCCUGUUGUGGGAUCGAUAGAACAUACUAAGUAUAGAUUGUUUGAUAUGUAUAAGCAACUAAAUACUAUGAGGAAAAUCGCAUUUCCUUUUGAAGAACUCAUAGCUUUAAGCUUUUCGCUUGCUGAGCUCCCCUUCUUCAAGUAGUAGAAGGAUGAGAGCUGAGUGAGGAAUGUAGCUGUGAUCUUAAUUUAUAUAGCGGAACAACAUAGUAAAUUUUGCUUUAUAAUAUGCCUUUUUUUUUUUGGAGGGCAACGAACUAUGGAAACGCAAGGGAACAUUUAAUAUGAUGUAAAUCGUGUUAAAGAUGACUGAGUAAAAAAUCAAUGUGAAACCCAAAUAUUGCCGUAUCAACCCAGUCCAUUUAUUUGUCCCUACUACAAAAAAAGUUACCUCGCCUUAGCUAAAAAUAAUCGUGCUUAAUUGUAAUUUGCAUUUCUUAUUUGGAUUUACUGGUUUUUAAAUCAAUUCUUACAUUGUUUGGCGGAAAUUAAAACAAUAAGCCUAAUAAGAAAAUUUUCAGCAAUAUGUGGGGAAACAAUUUUGCACUGUAAGAGAAAUUCAAGCAAAAUUCAAGAAUCUUGCUGUAUUUAGUUCAGUUGUUCAAAUGCAAAUAAUUUUGAUAGGUCUAUAUUAGUACCUUUUUUUUUUCAUGGCUCCAUUUAUAUAGGAUAACUAUCAUAGUCUGCAUCAAGAAGAGAUGUUUCCUAAGGUUCUUCUCCGAGAGCAUAUUAAUUGCUAUGUAAUUUUUUAAAAUAAAUUUUUCUAAUAGGGAAAGAGUGAGAGAGUAAAUGAGAAAUGAGAAACAUUGAUUUUUUUAAUUAGAAUUGAGAGAGGAGAAGGAUAUUCAAGCGAUGUUUGAUUUGGUAAAUAAUGUUGAUAAUAUACUUUCAUGCUUCCAUUCGUAUAGUGAUAUGAAGAUUGCGAAGUAAUAAAUCCACAAUUGGUAUCUGAAGCUAGUAUUCUUUUAUUUUAGUGGAGGUCUUUGUUAUGUGAAACAUACAUGAAUUUCAGGCUUUUAGAAAAAAAAAAACAGAUAUUACAUGGCAUAACUUUCAAAGUCUUCAUCCGGCCAAUGAGCUGAACUUAAUUUCUCAUACUUUUCAGUAAGGUGAGAUUUGAAGGAUGCCGGAUUUUUAUAAUCGUCAGUAAAAAUUGCACUACACUAUAUGUUCUCUGACAAAGUGCCAAAGGAUAAGUUUUAAUUUUUGUUAGGGAUAAUUUCAGGAGUUUUCUAGCUAUUUCACUGGUCUCUCUUCGGGUUUUAAAAAUUACACUAACCUCCCUCGAGGUUAAUUAUUUUGUAACAUUUAGGUCUAACCAACAAAUAAAAAAUAAUAUUAGGAGAAAGAAAAUAAUAUGAUUCCACCAUUACCUUUCAUCUACUAAAUUGUUUAAUUAAUCUAAUACCCAUCCAAAUAUUAAAGAAAAUACUAGAAUUUGCUGUUUAAUUUAAAUUGUUUAAUUUAAUACCCUUCAUAGGGGCUUAAAUCACCUAUGACAUAAAAAAUAGUACAUUAUUCUAUAUAUUUUAUUAAAUAUAAGAUCUAAAUUACUCUUUUCAAUUACAAACUCAUAGUCAAACACGAUCAACAACAAAUAAUCAAAAAAAAAUCUAUAACCAAAAUAUUACAAAGAGUGAACUUUAAUACCAUAAAAUUCUCAGGAACUAACCUUAAUAUGUUAAUAAGAAUAUUUAUGAUGUUAAUGUUUAUUCUCUAUAAUAUUUUGGUUGCAAAUUUUUUGAUUAUUUAUUGUUGACCAUGUUUGAUAAAUGGGUACGUAACUGAAAAGAGUAAUUUCGAUCUUGUAUUAAGUGAAAAAUAUAACAUGAUUUACUGUUUUUUAAUACUAUAUAUAAUUUGAUCCCUAAUGAUAAAUAGCAAAUUUUAUAUUUUUCUUUAAUGUGUGGGUUAGUAUUAAAUUAAUUAAAUAAUGUAAUAGCUGAUAGGCAAUGAUGUAAUCAUAUUAUCUUUUCUAUCUCACUAUUACUUUUUAAUUAUCGAUUGAGUUUAAAUGUUACAAGAUAAUCAAUCUCAAGGGAGGUUAGUGUAAUUUUUGAAACUUGAAGGGAAGCCAGUGGAAUAGUCAAAAAUCUCAUGAGAGGUUUUUGACAUUAUCACUUUUUGCUAUACUAUUUCUCACAUUACCGGAAUUAGUGCUAAAUGUUCACUCAAUGUGAGUGCAAUAAAAAAAAUACUUAAUAUUAUGGUCAUAUAUUUUAUAUAAAUUUUCAUUGCUGAAGCAAACCUUAAUCUUUUAAAUCUUUUUUAUAAAAUAAUUCUAUAUUGGUAGUUAUAUUAAAAAUAUAUACUUAAAUACUCCCUCCGUUCCACUUUGAUAGGUUUGUUUUUCUUUUCAUCCGUUUAAAAUUAUAGUCCACUUUCUAAUUGAAGAAAUUUAGUUAACUUGUAGCUUAUCUAAAAUGCCCUUAUUUAAUGUAGAUUGUUAUUGAGUAUAACUUAACUUAUUAAGUGUAAAGUUAAUUAGUCAUACUCCAUUUAAUGCAAGCGUAUUUUAGGAAUAUAAUAAGUUAGAUUUAUUUUUUCCAACAAAGGUAACCAACUUUUCUUAAACUGUGUGGGGAAAAAAUCAAACCUAUCAAAGUUGAAUUGAAGGAGUAAUUAAAAGUAAAAAAUAGUCAUGGAUAGUUAUCUUAAUCGCAUAUGUAUAGGUAGUUAAAGUAAGCAUAGUUUCCACAAGGGCAAAAAUGAAUGUUUAUAAAGUGAUAAUGAAUGUUUACCCUAAACCCCUUCCUGUACUCUUUUAUACUAGUUAUAAGGGCACACUUGAUGUAUAUGCGCAUUUAAGAUAAAUCACUUUUUAUAUGGACGUACGAAAUCAGUACAAAAUUUUCAUAAAUAAAAAUAUAAACUUUGAUCUUUUAAAAAUUUUUUGAUUAAAAUUUCAAUGAACCUGGUGGUUACAAUAUUUGUGGGUGGUUAUGGUGAACCUUGUGGUUGUAUUCAUUAGCAAUAUAAGUAACAUGUGAUAGAUAUCAAAGGCAUAAUUAAGUGAUUAUGAAAGUAAAAUAAAAAAAUCUAAAAAGUGACAAAAAGGGUUUACACCGAAUAAAAUGCUCUCGUAUUGUGUAUAGCUUGAAGUGCUUUUUCUGCAAUUUUUCCCCCCAUUAUGUUUCGAACUAUAUUUCUUUCUGUGGCUCGGUUUUGCUUGGUACUAGGGUUUUGAUUUUGAUCAGACUAUAUGUAGACUCUUUAGAACUGGCGAAGUUGUGUUUCCUUUGGGGUUUGAUUUUUCUCCUGUACAUGAAGUGUGAAGUACGACCCAACUUAGUUUUAAAGAAGGUGGAUUUUGAACUGGUCCACAACUGUCCUAUAGGUACUCACAGGACAGAUGCAAUUAAAGUUUGAAAGUACCCACUGCAGAAAGCUUGAAAAUUACUGAUGGUUUUUUUGGAUUUUACCUUGCAAUUGCAUGUGAAAAAUUUUGCAAGGUGCAUUCCACCUUUAUGUGUAUCCAAAUGUAAGUUCUCCACAAAAAUUGGCUAUGAUUAUGGUGGAUAAUGUAAGAAAUUUGCUUAUUCCAAGCUAUAGUAAGAAAACUGAACUCCAGACAUGAAAGCUUGCGUGUUCCAAGUUCCAACUUGUGAUCAUUCAUUUGGUACUACGUGGUUUGUAAUUCAUGCACACUUACUUUAAUGGUAUCAUCUCAUGUCAUUUGAUUGAUACUUAGGUGGCACAAAAGUGUCCCUUUUUUGUAUUAGGAUUAAUAGAAAUGUUCCCUUUUCUCUCUUUGGUAGGAAGUUAGCAGGAAUGAUUAGGAUCUCUCUUUGGAAAUACAUGUCUUUUCUUGGAGUUUUUGCUUUAUUAAUUACAUGAUAUUCAAGGUUAAAGUAUACUAGCUCUGUGCUCUAGUCAAGUUGAAAACAUUAUUGUCAGACUCAGAUUAGAUCGACCAGUCGAAUCAGAAAUCGGCCAGGUAGUCAGUUCGAGUCAGAUUAAAAACUCGAAAAUUAUAAAAUCGGUAAAAUUUGGUCAAAAUUUGGGUUUGACUAGUGAACUGGUAGAACCAUAUCAAACCUGAUUUUUCCCUCCCCAUUUUUUGCCUUUUUUUUAAAAAAAAAUUAGUAAACUUUGUCUUUAGUCCUGACUCUUGACUCUGUCUAGUUGACCGAUUAAACAAGCAAAAAAGAGGAAAAAUAUGGAAAAAAUAACAAAUCCAACCCAAAGUUUUCCAAAGGCAAAUUAGGGAUGACAAUUAGGGCGGGUGCCUAUGAGAAGCUAAUGAGGUGGGGCGAGGGGGAAUUUUUUCCUCAGUUUAGAAAAUCCCCCGCCCCGCCACCCAUUUAAAAAAUAAUAAAUAUAUAAAUGUACAUAAUUAUAUAUAAUAUUUAAUUUAAUUAGUUACAAACUUAUAAUAAUGAUAUUAUUAUUUAUAUGUAUUAUAUAAUGUAUGAUAUUCACCAAUAGUGAUGAUAUUCACCAAGUCGUCACUAAUGUAAUCCCCAAUAAUUCCCAGCCACUCGAAUCUUGUUGGCGGGAAUGUAUUUGUGAGGACAAAUCCAAGUUGUCACAAAUUAAUUAACUCUUGUAAGGCAAUUGUGAUGACUUUGAAAGUUGUGGUUAAAGACCUCAUUCUGUGACCACUUUUCUGUCGUUGCUAAGAAAUAUUGCCACUGAUGAUCAAAUUUGUUGUAGUGAUCAAAGUGACCUAAUUUGUGAUUAGGGGUGCAACUCAAUCACAGUAGUUGGACUCGAGCUCACAGGUAGUUUGAUAAACUACUCGAUUCAAACUCGGUCAAUACUCAUAUGUGACUGUAAUUCAAGGUGAUUCUAGAUGGGGUACUUAAUAAUGGGACAAGGCUAGAUGCUUCAAUCUUUUUCCAUUUUUGUUUUUGACAUUGAUGUAUUCUGAUGCAAUAGUUGUUGAUAAUUGGAAGAUCUGAAUGUAGGAAUUUGUAGUACUUUUAGCUUACGGCAAGAACAUUAAUGGCAAAACGAGUUCAUAAUGGUUAUCAUUAAUUAAACUAGGAUGCCAUACCCAGUUCGAAUCAUCUCCUUAAAACUAUUUUUUUCGAUAUAAUAUUCAUAUUAUCAUCUUCUUAUUAAUUUGUAUUUUCUUUCUUGAGCUUUUCUAACAGUACAUAAUGGACAUUCAAUUAGGCAAACUCGUCGAGAAUUUUUUCAUACGCCCAUUAGCUAAACCCUCUUUUUUCUUCUUUUUUAAGGCAAUUAAUGUUAAAACUAGUUAAUAAAAUGAUUAUCAUUAAAUAAACUAGUUCACCACAUGAUUAUCAUUGACUAAACUAACUUGUGUUAGUAACAUGAUAAGACUAACUGAACUAGUUGGUAACAUGAUUAUCAUUAAUUAAACUAGCACGUUAUAUUUAUAAAUAGGUAAAACUUCAUCUUAAGAUGCCUUGUGGAGAAUUUUUUGAAAGGGAAAAGAAAAAAAAACAAUGGUAAAAGCAACCAAAAAAGUAAUUUGAAACAAAGUCAUAAUAAUACCUUAGGGUCUUGGCUCUACCACAGCCUUCCUCUCCAUAAUUUUGCGGAGGGAAAGUACAGUUGAUUUAGGGAGGAAAACAAAUGAAAUGGAUGGAUAAGAGACACACCAAAAAAGCCUAAAAUUUUCAUCCUAGAAGUGGAAAGAAACAGUCGGAUACGAAACAGUGCUUAGUAGAACUUUAUCAAGUAGUAAACUGAAUAAAAACUUCCCAGACCAAACUACUUUCACUCUUUUUACUCUUAAGAUAGCCAUCCUAUAUAAUCUUCACCACAAUUGGAGAAAUAUCAGAUAACCUCUCUUGGGUCUCUUCAAUGGAACAAGAAAACAAGCUUCCUUGAUUAAAUAAACUAAGAGGACAUGCGUAAAUUGUAAAAAUGUGUUAUCCAACUUUCCAACUUCCAAACAAAAGGGCAUUGUUUCUUUACUUUUCUUUUCUUUGUUUGAACUCCCAAACAAAAAAUGUACAACCCUUCUCUUCUCUUCUUUUUUCUCCUAACUUACCAUUUUUCUUGUUUUCAUUUCUCAUUAUAACUCUCAAACUAGGCCUAAGUAUUCAAAGAUGUUCAGUUGGUCUUAGUAAACUCCAUAUAAGAUCCUCCUAAAAGGAAAUUAGAUAUUGUCUCCUCAAAAAUGAAAUGUUUUUUCUCUCUCGAAAAACAGUGAAAUGUUUUGGACUCUGACAAUAGACAAUGUAAAUCGUGUUAUUGAUGCACUAAAUGGUCUACAAAAUAAAUAAAAUAAAAUUUCACGGACUAUUUUGUCUAAAAUGCAAAUUGAGGUGACGAAUUCAGACUUGACAAUCAAAAGAGUGAUCUAAUUUGUGAUACACUCACAAGAUCCGUGUAACUAGCCCUAAUAUGUGCCAAUACUUAACAAAUUUUCACUUUCUAGCACAUCUUUUUCAGAAACAUUCAAUUCCAUUCUCGAUCCUAUUGUCUUUCUUUAGAUUGGAGAGAUGACAGUUUACUAUUACGAUACUGAGGUAAACACACUAAUAUUAUUAAAAAUAGUGCAGUAAAAGAGUGAAACAAAAAGUGGAUUAUAGGAUCUCCACAUGAGUGAAAAAAUAAGAGUUUUUUUUUUGUCAAUUGUCAUUAUCUACACCUAUUUUUAUUCUAACUUAUUCUAGGGAAUAACCCAACAGGGUCACGGAAAAUCGACGGAGACUGAACCACCAUCGAAUCAUACAGUUGUAUUACACACCUAUAUGAAUUUAAGAAAAAUCACGUUAAGUAGCAACUUUAAUGGGUGGAUUUAGUUGGUUAAAAAUGGGAUAAGUGGUCAUGGGAUACUCUAUACACACACACACACGUAGUGAAAAUAUGGGAUAUAAAUUAUAAUGGUAGAUUGAGAGGACCAGAAUAUGUGGAGUGGAUGAAAGAAAGUGGGAUACUGGAACCUGGAUUCUUAGCUAAAACCCUGAUCUCUGUGUUCAUAUGAGACGCCCAAUGAUCCAAUCCAACGUGAUUCAAGAUGGGAUACUUCCUCAAUAAUGGGGAAGGCUAGAUGCUUCAAUAUUUUUCCAUUUUUGGUUUUGACAUUGAUGUAUUGUGAUAGUAAUACAAUAGUUGUUGAUAAUUGGAAGAUGUGAAUUUAGGAGUUUGUAGUACUUUUAACUCACGGCAAGAACAUUAACAGCAAAACUAGUGCCUAAUGUUUAACCAUUAAUUAAACUAAGGAUGCCAUACCCAGUUUGAAUCAUCUCUUUUAAAACUAAUAUUUUCUGGCUUCUAAUUAAUUUGUAUUUUCUUAGUUGGGAUUCAAUUAGGCCAAUUUGUUGGGCAUUUUCUUAGACACCGUCAGCCCCCCCCUCCCCUCCCCCCCCCAAAACAACACCUUUUUUUUUUUUCCUUUUUUAAGGUAAUAAAUGUUAAAACUAGUUAAUAAAAUGAUUAUCAUCAAAAAAACUAGUUCACAACAUGAUUAUCAUUGACUAAACUAGCUUGUGUUAGUAACAUGAUAAGACUAACUAAACUAGUUGGUAACAUGAUUAUCAUUAAUUAAACUAGUGUUCAAUGCACAUCCAAUGUGUGUGCAAUCAAAAAAUACAUUGGUCAUAUAUUUUAAAUAAAAUUUUUAUUGCUGAACUUUAAUCUUUUAAAUAUUUUUCAUAAAAUAAUUUUAUAUUAGUAGUUAUAAUAUUUAGGAAUAGUUGUGUUGAAAACAUAUACUUAAAUAGUUAAAAGUAAAAAUAGAUGGGUAGUUAUCUAUAAUCAAAGUAAAAAGAGUUUUUAUAAGGAUAAAUUCAUAAAAUGAUAAUAAAUAUUAAACCAAUGUUAAUAACAAACCUCUUUUCUCAAGUUUUAUAUAUAGUAUAUAUAUACACUAGCACGUUAUAUUUGUAAACAAGUAAAACUUCAUCUUAAGAUGCCUUGUGGAGAAUUUUUUCAAAGGGAAAAGAUAAAAAAAAGGAAAAAGAACAAUGGUAAAAACUACCAAAAAAGUAAUUUGAAGCAAAAGUCAUAAUAAUACUCGUUAAACUUGAUCUUGACAAAAGUCAAAUUUCACCAAACUUGUUUCGUGAUUCUUUUACUGUCACCGAAGGCAUCGGAGUCUCUGUCUCAACUGUGCUUACACUCGACAUGGGGCUGUUGCCGGCUUGGCGGUCCGUGGUAUUCAAGAACCGGGGAAGCGGUUUAGGCCUUGCCGCAAUAGCUUAUGUGGGCGUGGACUAUUUCCGCCACCUGUCUCCGCGGUGGCACGAGCGAUUGCAGCCAGUUUUGUGGACAUUUUUAGCCAUUGCAGCUGUUAUUCGUGUUCCUUUUUAUAAGCACUGGUCAUCUGAGCUUCGUUCUGCUCUGCCCUUCAUAUUUUCUUUGAUUUUUAUGCUCUCUGCUCUGCUUUUGGAAGCCAUCUCUGUUCGGUUUGUCACGGUUGUUCUUGGCAGUGAUUGGCACAAGUAUGUACUGAACUUCAGAAAGUUUUCUUUUUUGCUGUUUUUGGGGUAAAAUUUGCUGGGUUUUUGGUUUUGGUGGUUUGCUUUGAAGUUUGAACUUUUCUGGUUGACUAGUAGUAAAGAUUUGUGAUGUGGGUUUUGCUUUAACUGUAGUUUUGGUUUUGUAACGGAUUAGCUUGCUACAAAUUACCAUAAUUAGAAACGAAGAAAAUCUGAUCUGCAUUUGUUAGUGUUGGAUCUCGUUAUUUUAAGCUAAGAUCUGCUUGUCUUGAAGUGCAACCUGGCUUGUUUAGUAUAGCGGUUAAGUUUAUUUUUCCGUUAUGUAAAAGAUUCCAGUUUGAUCUGUCAUCUAAUUGAGGAAAUGCUGGUGGUUUCGAACGGUGGCUCUAGAUUUUGCUUUUAGUACUCGUGCAUAUAGACAAGCAAUGCCUGGUUGUUCAUAUGUAUGUUACUUUGUUGAUAAAGCUGAAGCUACACUUGUUAUUGUUGGCAUUUUUUUUCUCCGUCCAAAUUUUGAUCAUUAACCACGAACGAGGUUAAUUUUAUUCUAAUUAUGUUUUCUUUAUGACAAGCUAGAACUACUUGGGAUCUUUUUGCUAUCCAGGGGUUUAGCUUGGAGCUGGCAAAAGCAUGCAAACAAUAAAUAAGCUUGUAAUAGUUGAAGCAUUAACAUGAACUAAGCUAAACACAGUAUGUAAAAGGGAUAUGAUUAAGAGACCCAGUUUUGGUUAUUAAUAAAUAUCUGACUACUUGAAAGGAUUGGAGUUAAGUUGAAUUCCUUCGUUCUGUUAAAUUUCAGUUUGUGUAUCAUAAUACUAAAAGCUUUAGGAAAUCUAUUUAGGGUUACUAAGGAAAAAAUGGCAGCCAAGGGAGCUGAAAACAAUGUCAAUACAGAUGAUAAUACCUUUUGCUGCUAUUAGAUAUUGAUCAAAUAAGAUUCAGUAACCAGAAAGCAAUUGAUAGAAGCUCCUAAAUUUUCUUUCUUCUUGUUUUGGUAUCUGAUAUGCGAAACAACUUAACUUUUAUUAAUGAGGAGGAAUCAGGGGAAUUGAGGAUGGAUUGUCAGUGACCUGUUUUUUCUCGAGUAAGGUUGCUGGACUGCAUUUUCUUUCCUGACUUUUAGAAUCAGUUUCUGCACGAGCGGUUGUACAACUUGAGGUGCUGCUUGUGUUGUUGGAUUGCAAUUAUUAAAUUGUGCUACUUUUCCCACUAAUGAGUCUUACUUUCCAAAUAUAAGAAGGAGGAACAGGAAACUGAUUGAGUACAGCUUGCUAAAUUGAAACUGUUGAAGGAGUUGUAUACUUCUAGCAUUCCUAGGAAAAUAUUUGGAACAGAUAGGUAUUGAAUCGUCAUGUUCCACAAAAACAUUUACUUGCAAAACACAGUUUAAUAUGCAGCGGCUGUGCAACACCCUGAAUUUGAUUACUUGCUGUGGCUAGUUUAUCCUAUAUAAUUAUAUUUGUAAUGUUGAACAGUUCUGCUCAGGCUCUACCUGAUGUUGGCCAGUGGUUUCUGCUUGCAUUGAACGAGAAGCUGCCCCAAACAAUGGUCAAUUUGUUGAGAGCUCGUAUAAUUGGACUGCACCAUUACCUGAUGUUGUUUGUCAUGCUUGGUUUCUCUGUAUUAUUCAACUCCAUUGAAGCUCCUGGUCUUGGGUUGGGUGCAAGAUACAUGUUUACCAUGGGUGUUGGGCGACUUCUUCGAGCCUUGGCUUUUGUUUCUACAAUUUUACCAUCACCUCGGCCCUGGUGUGCAUCAACUCGCUACCAUAUACCUGCACACGCUCAUCGUUGGGCUCAAAAGUAUUAUGUUCCAUAUGCAACUGAUUCAUAUGCUAUUCGCCAAGUUAUUCAUUAUGAUAUUGCCUAUGGUAUUUGCCACAUUUGAUAUAUCUUAUACCUGGCUCAUUCUUUAGUUUUUCCUACUUUCAUCUGCCCCUCCUGAUUUUUCUCCUUCAUAACACCUUAAAGCUUUGUCUAAUUAAUAUUUUGUGGAAGGCUUGAUCGGUGGGAAGAGGGGCCAUGUCAAAUUAUGUGUUUUAGAUGUGAAUGUUUGUUUUUUACCUGCUUUUAAUUCAGGGUUUAGCAUCUUGUCCUAAGGGCACCUUUGCUCAAUGAACUUCCCAAUGAAGGGUUAAUCAAAUGGCAAAUAUGGGAACAUAAUGCCCAUUGGUGUGUGCAUGUUUCAUUAUUAUUCCCAGUCUGGCAUGUUCUUAAGCCACUUAUGAUGUUGGACCUUUUUUUCCCCGAAAAAUUCUUUGAUGUUUUACUUUUUUAAGGGAAUUAAUUGAGAAAUGUUGUUCGAUCAUGUUUUGCAGCUGAUCCUGGAGACUAUCAUGUUGAAUUCCAUCCUAACUGGGGUUUGAUGAGCUUCCUCAUUGAUUUUCUACGACCUACACCUCCUGAUGGUUCUUCUCCAUGGUACCAUCUACUAAAGAAAGCAGGGGGUGGCUGCAAUGACCUCAUAUACAGUGGCCACAUGCUUGUAUCUGUACUGACUGCUAUGGCAUGGACGGUAGGUGUGCAUAAUGGAUUUUAUGUUUACCCUUCAUUUAGCAGCUUCAGCUACUAGGGACCAGAUAAGUUAGUUAAUCUGCUAUUCAUAUGCAAGUGCAGGAGGCAUAUGGUGGCUUAAGCUCCAUUUUGAUUUGGCUGCUUGUACUGCAUAGUGCACAAAGGGAAAUUCGCGAGCGCAAUCAUUACAGUGUUGAUUGUGUGUUAGCCAUCUACAUGGGGAUCUUUUUGUGGAAGUUGAUAGGCAUUUUUUGGCCAACUAAAGAUGCAUCCAAGAAAAGAAGGCUAAUCAAAUUGGAAAGAGUUCGGGGUAGACUAACGCAAGCUGCCAAGGACUCUGACAUUGAUAGAGUGAGAGAAAUUCUGAAAGAGGUCGAGUUAAGCAGUCAAGUAAGGCAGAACCCUAAGAGCAGGGCUAUGUGGCUGUUUUCUGGUGCAACCAUUUUCUGCACGAUAACCGUGGUGCUUCUUGCCUUCAUGUUGACAUCUGACGGGUGAUUCCCUACUUAAGUUAUACGCUGCCACGAAAUUUACGAGUCGAUUGCAGUGCUCUUAACUGCAUUUUGUUGUGUGAAAACACGAGUAGAUAGAAACCAAACAAAGAUUGUGUUGUACACUAUCAAGAUAGACUGUUAGGUCUGAGGCCACGCUUAUAGGCUGGAUGUUGUAAUAUGGACCUUCACCAGUGAUGUUCCAAUGUAUGUGCAAAGUUCCACAGGUAAUGUCAUUUACCGAACUGAAGUGGCUAACGAGUUCCAGUUUUCAUGGCUGUAAUGUAACACUGGAAAUUUCAUUUAUAUUAAAGACCAUUUUGAUUUUGAAUCAAGUCUAUCUGCCUUUCAAAGUUUGUUUAUUUUGUUUUCUUAUUUUUUUUUGGUGCAUUUAAGAUUUUUUUUUGCCCUAUGCCCGAACACUCUAGUGAGCAUUGCAGUCAUACCAUUUUCUAGGGCAGCUUCAUUAACUAAAGUAGUAAUGUGAUCGGGUCAAGCUUUUGAGUAUUACCACACUCGAGUUCAAAUUGAAUACGAUCUCAAAUAGGUAUUUUCUUGUUUGAGCUCGUCGUGUAUGCAAUUUUGAGUUCACAUUGAACUCAAUCCUGAAUAAUAGGUAUGUUCGAGUUUGACCUUAGUUAUUAUAAGGUAAACUUCUUUUACCAUUCAGCCAAUAAGAACAUCAAAUGCUCUAUUAACUGAAGUAACUCUAAAAUGUUCACCACAAUAAAAAUGGCAAAUUUUCUCGACCUACUGAAAUUUCCUAAUUACCAGUGUACUGGGCUCUCUUCUCCUCCGCUCCCAUAUACUAGACUCUCUGGUCUGAUGCCCCAUUGCCUGAAUACGAGUACAAGCCGUUCUUUCCUCUUUGACGAAGCGGCGUAGCAUUGGGAGAACAACCAGCUUCACGGUUCUUCAUAAGCUUUGCUUAAAGGAGAAGGAAAAAAACCAGUAAUUUAUUUCAAAAUUUUAGCUUUUUUUUUUUUGGCUUUUGUGGAUUAAUUUUCUGUCACGCAAAUGGUUGCACACCACAUGUUUGAUUGAAUGCCUGAAUGUGUAUCAACUGCAUACAGAUGCUGCUGAAGGGUCAAUACAUAUAUGUUGUAGUACCAUCCCGGGAGACGAAGCAUUUGCUUAUAGAUUAAUGUCAGUUUGAUUGCGAUGAUAUGAUUCGCUAGAUAGUGAUAAAAUUCAUCAUGGCACAUAAUUCUGCUACCACAUGUUUGAUGUAGGAUUGGCAGAGGUGUGGAUUGAGGUAGAUGGAGUCAAUGGUGAAAAAGUAUCAGCAGAAGUUUAGGAAGGUGAAAGAAGAGAUGGGUCGAUGGGAAGAGCUUCAAUCUCGGUUAAUUUCACAGUUCACCAGUGCUUCUGCCAUCAUCCAGAGAUUGCAGGUUUUCCCGCAGCAUCCUGUCUAGCCAUGUUUGCAUGUGUGUCUUUCUUCUUAUUGUUUGAUUCCUGAUGAUAUUGAUGUUGGGUUAGCUUUCUCAUUUAGUUACUUCAAGAUCCAAAAAAGUAUGGCGCAUUAGAAUGUGUUCAGGGCAUUCAAGAUGCUGUCUUGGCGAAGCAAUUGGAGUCACUGCAAACUAUUAUGCUCUCCAUGAAUAUGACCUUGUAUGGUUUCUUGUUUUACAUUUUCUUUCUCCUUAAAAGCUCCUUUUAUUGACCUCAAUUCAUUUUGUAACAAAAGUCGGAUAACAAAUUUUGGCAAGGGGUCUCUUCCAGUGUUUAUGUUUAUUUCUGAUUCAGCCAAGUUAGGAAUAGAUAUUUUAUCUUGUUUCUUAAAGAUUGUGUUCACCUGUAUGUCGAGACUUCUACUAACCAAACGUUAAAAGGCCAUUUGAUUGGCCUCCAGAUUUCUUUGUUCCCUUAAAUUUCAUUUCAUGGGUGCUGUCGACCUCAAGAACUCAUUCUCGACCUCAAGAACUCGUGUUUCAGCAAUUGGUUAUCCUAUGUAUGUGUGUGUGUGUGUUUUUGUUUUUUUUUUUUCCCUCCUUCAAUUGUCCCCUGUAUUAGUCUUGAUUUGCAUGUCACAGCACUCCCAUAUAGGAAGCUGACUUUCUGUUCUUCUUCUUUUAUCUUUUUGCUUAAUCCAUCCGCCAUUGAUGUAGGGAAGAUUUUCGUGGUGUUUCUUCAUCCCUUGAGAAAGUUGUUCGUGAUGGUAGGCAGCUAGUUAAAGGAGGUUCUACUGUUGCAACAGCAAAGCAACUGCAGCAAAGAGUUGGUAUCAAACCAAGUCUUGCAGAUUGCCUGGAGGGCCUUAGGCUUCUUAGCGAGAUGCACCAUUCAGAGUAUGCGUUAGAGGAACUUUACAUAAUUCUCAUAGCUAACUUUCCUGUAUGUUGAUGUUAACUCAUCAAGAUUGGGCUCUGGAAACAGAACUUGUUAUUUGUUUCUUUAUUUAAAGUUUUCUCAGAAAUGCAAUCCGAGAGAUGUCAAAAGUUGGGUUAAUCUGAUCAUUUGAUAUGAUUUUGUAGCUAAUUUAUUUUUUAUGGUCCCAGUUUUUUCAUUCGGUCUUCUUUACUAUCUAAGAUUCAAAAUAAGGUCACCCAUGAUAGUUUCAAAUGAGUGUUAAACUUCACAUAAUACGAAAAUAAAUCACUGCCGUUUCUUCUUCACUCUGAAUCAUUUUGUUUGCACUUUCCUGGGAUUAUCUGAUCUUGGUUACACUAAUAUUUUCCUUGACUUUUGAAAACAUUCGCAUUGCAAUUUCUCGGAGUUACCUUUAAGAUGUGCAGGAUAUUAGUGACCAGCUUCCUGGAAUCCAUGUUGUCCUUUUCUCCCUUCAUUUUUCACACUCCAUUUCCUAGUAACCAGUUGAACAUUUUAUUUCAGGUACCUUCUUAAGUCAUCUGUGAUAUCGGCACUUGCAAAGGUUUCCUUGACGCCAAGGUAUCUCUUGAUAGAUGUGGGUGCUUCCCCCACCCCAGCCACCUCUGUGUGAUUAAUUCUUUUGCAUAGGCAAUCACCCAAGUUAAUGUGUAUUGUAUCUUGUGCAAAUUAUCUAAACUUGAGAAAUAGGCAUGACUUGUUUUUGAAAAGUCUGUCAGAUUAUAAUUGGAGGUUAAGGCUGGAGAAGUUGGCCUAGAAUAUUUAGCAUAUUUAGGGCUUUCAGAUAUGUCAAUUAUUAGAAAUAAGUCAUGUUCAAGGUCUUUUAAAAAAAAAAAAAGAGAGGAAAAUUUUGCAGUUUAUGUUGGUUUAAGGCUUUUUAUUAACUUUGAAGGUAAUAAAUGAUGGCAGCCUGGAAUCACCUUUCACAACUAUGAUGCAUGAGAAGAGUACAUUCAUUAUAUAAAUAUUUGGACUUGAUCCUAUGAUUUAGUUAGUGUUUGAUUUUGGUUACCAUGAUACACUACAAAUCUUCUCAAAUUGAUGUUUGGACAGUAAGUAGAAGGGUGAAGCAGAAAAGUUUAACAGCUCCACCCUUAAAAAUACUAAAGUUUAAUGCUCCAAAUUAGAUUAGAAGUUGAGAGUGUCCAGUUUUAUUAAAUAGUGCAGCUCUUAUUUCUUUGUUCAUUGCACAGGAUGGCUGUGCGUAACAUUUUUUGCUGUUCUUUUGGUGUGGUAUAUUUGUCUUUUUCUUCUCCUUUUCCGCCUUUGCCUCUCUUUCCUUUUGGUGAAUUAGUUGUAUACUGUAAUUGCCUCUGAUGCCAUUGAAACAUCUUAGUAUUCUAAUUGUGACUAUGCCACGGCUGAAUUCUAAUUGCAGUGCUAGUGACGAUCUAAACGCCCUUCAGCAACUGCUCGUUGACCAACCUAACAUCCCUAGAGAGGAGGGUAGGUAGUUAAGAGUUUGAUGAACAGAAUUAAUUGCCAUGCUACUAUCUGCUUGUGAUAGAAUUAGGAAGCCCUUGCUAAAUCCUCCAUACGCAUCACAAUAUUGUAGAACUCAACUUUUUUAGAACGUUUCAGAAUUUUUAAUAUCUGUCCUUUACAAUGUCAAAUACUGUACAUCAAAAACUGAAUUCUGGCCUUUCUUGCUGCAGUACAAGGGAUAUUUGAUAUCAUAUUUGCUGAAGACAUCACUUGAUGUUUUGUCCUCGUAUCAAUUGAAGUGCAUUACAAAUCUGUGUUAAGGCAGAAAGAAAGGAGGCACUAGCAAUCAUUUCACCAUCUUUCAGGGAUACCGUUUGAGCAAAUGCAUCCAAUAACAUGUCAUGUCAUUCCUCGGUUAGUUAUGAAGCAAAAAGCUGUCAAAUUCAAGACAGGUUGCUUGUUUGUGGAUCAUUCCCAAGCACGAGUUCUGUUUCCUGAAGAUUAUAUAUCAAAGACUCUAAUCUUCAGUGGGUGGAUGGUAGUUUGGAUGAUUUUAAAGUGUAAAUGAAUCAUAGAUUGUCAUGACAAAGAGUCAGUCAUUUUAUAUAUAUAUUUUCUUUUUUUGGCGUAACUAAAUUGGAUAGAUAAUUUUCACACAUGAUUCAUGAGGCAUAAUCCUGUGCACCUUUGGAGUCUUGUUUGUGCACCUUUGGAGUCUUGUACAAUUUUUAUCAAAUUUGGUCAAUCACACUAAAGAACUCGUGACAGCGUAUAGCAAAGUUUAAGGUCCUGUUUAAUAAAUUCAUUCAGCACUUGAAUUUAAUAGAUUCCAAUCUUAAUAUGUUUAGACGCGUUUGAUAAUCAAAUAUUGAACUUUGAAUUAAUUAAGUGACACUCAAUUUUUUAGACAAAAUUUGCUCCUAAAAUUAAGUGAUAAACUAUUCACUUAUCACUGAAUAUGAUAUGCACUCAAAUGUAUUAAAUUUAAUAGUUAACAAUUCAAAAACUUAAUGAAUUCAGGCUUUAUAUUUCAUAUUUUAUUUUUAUUAAACGCGCCCUAAGCUUAAAUAGAGGCUUAGAAGGAAUUGAUUCAAUCGAGUUUAUGGCGCUUUCAUGAGCCAUAGCAUGAAGGCGUGUAAAAAAACGCCUUGGUCAGGAUAUUUCCUUCGCGAGUUCCGGAAUAGGAGAUAUGUGCCCUGAUAUUUCCACCAUAUCAACGGCUCAAAACCCAUCAAUCCCACCAACCAAACAUCCCAAAUGUGCAUAUUUCAACACCAACUUUUCUGUUUUUUUGUUACUGCAGCUAAAAUAAGCUUUCAUUCAUUCAUCUUGGAUUUCCAAAGUUCUGGGCACGGUUUUAACUGUUUAUCUACUUGGUCCUGAAAAAAUGGCUAUUUCUUUAUCAUCAGCAGCAAAAGUUUGCUCUUUGAAUCCAGAGCCUCCAUUUGCUGCGUCUUCAAAUUCAGCAGCAAAGCUUUCUAGCUUGUCUUCUCUGCAAUUCCCUAGAGAACUACGCCGUUUUCAUGUUGGAAACCGAGCUGUUCAGUCCGGGCAGCCCUCCCGAACUUUACAUGUGGUAUAACUUUCCCAACCCUAUUGGCAUUCGAAGAAAUGAAGAAAUGAAUGCUUUACUUUUGGAAUGUUCUUCUUUUCUGGGUUUACUGUUCUUGUUAUUUGAAUUUUUGUUUUUUUCACAUUUGGUGCUUGUUUUCUGGUUUUGCUACGGAUUUCUGCUUCAUCAAGAUUGGUGCUAUUUAUCGUAAUUCUCUUCAAGACUUAAAUUUUAGGAUGUUUAGGUAGCUUUAGUGAUGAAUUACCUGCUGAAUCUCCAUGGAAACCGUAACUUCACACUUUGGAAUUGGUUGGCAAAUCUGGAGUUUUGAUUGGGGAUUUUCUCGUUUCGUUAUCUUAUGUAAUUAUCUAUGUAUUUCUGUCUUCUGAAUUAUUUUUCUGUUGGAAUUUGUUGUAAAGUUUGAGAAUUUAUUAAAAUUUUAUUAUCGUCGCGAUUUAGUUUGGGUUUAUGUUUUAUGUUUGUAUGUAUUCGAGAGAGUGCAAAACAGUUUGACUAUUGGGACGAUUCUGUUAGUCAGAAUGCAGCUAUACACACAGAUUGUGUUAAUGCUGCUAUAUAGAAAGGAUGGGAUUGUCUUUGAUGUAUGGGAAUAAAGAUAUAGUUGUUGUGGAAGUAAAGUACAAAAUUGAAUGAGUAGCUACAAAUAACGAAAUUCAUGGGGAGAGAGAUUAGAUGAUGUUGUAGUUGUGAAACGGUAUGUGUUAUGUUUAAUCUUGAUAACUGGCCUCAUUUGGUGGUUAAGUGGACUGAUUGGUCGAUCGGGAUGAGUUGAUCGGUUUAGUUCCAGAAGGGAAUUUAUAUGAACUGCUACAGAAUAAGAGUAUUUAAGAUUUUUAGCUUAGGUGAUCAGAGUUAUUCUCACAUAUAGCAGUGCUUACUGCAUUCACAUUAGGGGCAAUUAACUUGCAAACAAGUUGCAGCAAGUGGAGGUGUAUGAGUUGUAGUGAACUUCCCGGAAGAUGAGUGGUGAAAUCAUCAUAAUAUGUAUUUUAGAGACCAAAACGAAUCAACUUCAUGCAGAUGGAUUUUACCUGCAGAGGAAGCAAUUCUAGCCUAUGGAAUAAGCUAGUCAUGGAGAAACCAAGUGAAAAGGCUACUGUGGUAUGCUGCUAAUGAAUCAGUUGCUGGGCAUUUUAGCAAAUCCACAUGGGAGAAUAAGGAGGCUCAAAUUCAUUUAUUUAUUUAGGGUCAGAUUUUCAAGUGGCUGACACAUUUUUCUAAUGGGAAAGCUUGGAAAACAAAAGUGUGAAGAGACAAACAAGAUACGAAUGAAUGACCAUAGUAUGAAAAUCUGGUCUUGUAGCAAUCUCUAAAGCCAGGUGAAAAGCUGAGAUUUGGACUCUUGGAGAAUGUCUCGGUGCUUAAAAGCUUGUCUCUUUUUGCUUGGGUUUUCCUUAUUCACAAAGAUUUGGGACUUUAGGCUCAUAUUUCACUUAGGGCUUGCCACAAACUUUUGUAUUGAUAGCCAUGCCUUGAGGCAUGCUCACAGUAAGCAUUAUUUUUCCAAUAUGCUUACUGCUUGAUGAAAUAACUAAUUAUUGGCAUUGUCCGGGAUGAAUCUAGCUUAUUGAUGAUACCUUUACUUUGCCUGAUUUAAGUGACAACAGAUGUGGGUUGUGGUUUUAAUUAGGUUAAUAAAUACAAUAAGAUAAAGAACCAUCAAAAUAGAUUGGACAGAGAGGGCGGGGGGUAUAGAGAGAACAAGCCCUUUUUUUUGUUGGGGGGGGGGGGGGGGGAGAGGAGGAGGCAGAGAUGUUGAGUGCUUAGAGCAUUUCAUGUUGAGACUUCUGGAACUGCUUACUUCAUGUUAUGAUUGUUGAUUUUGGAGCAUCUCAUAAGUAAAAGAAAGAAAAUUGACCUUUCUAUUGAAGGCAUUUUUUUGGAGAAGCCUUUGAAAGCAAAUUGAGUUUUCAGCUAUUGGCCUCAUAAUAAGUUGCUUUACCUGUUAUCAUGCUUGUACAGAACCUCUCUUUGAUGAUUUCCUUGUAACUUGCUUUGAUGCUGGUGUCAGUUCUUCAUUCAGUAGUAAUAUUCACGGCACAGUUGUAAAAGCUUACCUCCUUUAUGUUUUCUGCUGUACGAGUGUGCUUCUGCUUGACUGCAGGAGGAGUCCUUCCCCUUUUCAUGUUAUCAUCUUAUGUUUUGUCAGUCUUCAAGACAGAAUAUUUUGGUUUCUAUUGGUGGUAGCUGAAUAUAUUCGUAAUUAGGUGAAGGCAAAGAAGCAAACAUUUUCAUCCUUUGACGAUUUACUGAAAACCGCUGACAAACCAGUGUUGGUUGAUUUCUAUGCAACCUGGUAAGUUCUUUUGGUGUGUUACUCUUCCAUUCUUUUAUGUACCUUUUUGUGAUUCGCAAAAUUUUAACUGGAGAUCAGUUCCUAUGAGACAUCAAAGCAUCUAAUGCUGAGACUUGCGUGCAGAUCGAGAGGUAUUUGGCGUUGCAUUUGACCAAUUUAAUCACUUUAUCAAUCUAGUGAUUGGCACUCUAACGGGUCAUUACUUCAAAAAUGGGAAUAUUCUUGGAAGCAUCUAUAAACCAAGGGGAUUUUUUUACCUUUUACUGUGAUAGUAGUAACUAAAUCUGCUUGAUGCAUAAAUUUCUUGAGUCUACCGAUACAAUGACAAGCUACCCAUCAAAACAAUUUCAUUUGCGCAAAGCUAUAGUAGGAAUUAAGCAGAGAUAUGGAUUUGCAGGUGUGGUCCAUGCCAAUUCAUGGUUCCUGUUCUGAAUGAGGUUAGUACAAGAAUGAAAGAUAAGAUCCAGGUGGUGAAGAUUGAUACUGAGAAGUAUCCGAGCAUCGCAGAUAAGUAUAGAAUUCAGGCACUCCCUACUUUUAUCAUAUUCAAGGAUGGAGAACCCCAUGAUCGUUUUGUAAGUUGACUGCAUCUUUUCUGUAGUGUUUCUUACUUCUGUGCUGUUUCUUAAUGAGAAAAGAUGCAUCCCGACACGGAGUUAUAAAUGGGUUUUAGUCUAAAUAUUGGCUUUCUACUAACAAAUAAUAGUAGUAGACCACAUCUCUCGAACGUCAGUGACUUCUUAAGCUGAUGCACUGCCUAAGGAAACUAAGAUCCCCGCCAAGGGCUAAGAGGUUAAGUUCCUAGGUUCCCCUUCCCCUUUGCUUACUCUAAUGGAGUGCCCUGUUUUUGGUAGAAUUGGUAAGAGUACGGUAAGUUACAAAGUUCGUUGGAUGUGAUGGAUCUCAGAAUCAGUGUUUGCAUAUAAAGUUAUGUUUUAGAUAUUUAAGAUUUCAUGUGGUGAAGAAUUUAAAGAGCACUAACUCAGAACUAUUUUUGUGUAUGAACAAUCUCUUUCUAAAUUUCCAGGAGGGUGCACUUACAGCAGACCAACUAAUACAGCAGAUCGAGUCCUCACUGAAAGUCAAGCAGUAGCCAUGAUGGUGAUCUUUCUUUGUUUAUAUCCCUGCGCUAACUGAGUCCUGACAGUUGCACAAGGCUUUCCUGAACUCUUGCUCCUUUUUUUUUUUUGGCUUUUCCAUUCUUCUUCCCUUAUGCCAGAUCAAACGGUAGGGUGAUGUGGGUACCUGAGAUGCUGGAUGUUUAUAGAGCUUUAUUCAUUUGAACGAGGACUUCCAUUUUGUAUCUGGUGAUAUUCCUCAAGAAGCAAAUGGGAAUCAUCGUUUGCCCUGGGGUGUAUUCAUCAGUACUCGUUAAUUAAACUUGUUCGCUGCUGCAGAUAGACAGAUUAAUUGAGAUUGUAAUGCAUAUGUACUGAUGAAAUUGAUCUAGAAUCUCAAAAAGUUUUCGCCAUGAUUCUUAACACCUUGGACUGUAAUUCAAGAAGCCCGUUUUAUCCAAGUACUGUCUUUUUUACUGAGAUUGGAAGCCUUUAUGGUUGUCCAUACUUUGUACUGGUUGUCAAUCACCUCUGCGGGUUUAAAGUUUCCUCCUUUCAAUAGCUCAGGAGAGACUUUGCUUCUUUAAGCAGCUGCCAAUAACUGCUUGAAAACCUCAUUUCUGUGUAACCAUCAAUCAAAAUGGAAUUACAUACCAUACAAGAUUAAACAGUCAAACAAGUUUCUGCUGUGCUCAACUUGACAGCCCAGGCUGGUGAACAAAUUCCACAGUCCCCAAUAGCUCAUAGAUCAAAAGAAGCCUCGUUGAAAAUCCCCAAACAAAUCCCAAUUAUUAAGUGCUGUUUUGAGUAUGUAUGACUGCUGCCGCUGGGAACAGUUGCUAUCUUUCAAGAAACAGAAGGAAGAAUGGAGAUGAGAGCAGGGGAAGACAUAGGCAUAGGAGAAGACCUCACACCUCCACUCUCACCCCUGGCCUUCUCUCUCCACGAUUCUUUCCUACACUCCCACUGCUCCGCCUGCUCGUUUCCUCUACCAAAUGCGCAUUUUACUCCCACUUCCCCCUCAAAUUCACUACCCCUCCACUACUACUGCUCCCCCCGUUGCUCCGCCCUUGACUCACCUCCCUUCAUGUGUCCCCCUCCUCCUCUCGAAGACUCGUCCCACCUCCGCCUCUCCCUCCGCCUCCUCCAUAAACUAUUCCACUCUCAGAACGAUACGGUAGAAGCAAAACUGGAUAGGAUUGGAGGGUUAAUGACCAACUAUGAGAAAUUCUUGAAUUUGUCUAAAAAUGAGGAGGAAGAUGAGGCAUUGGAGAUGAUUAAGGAAGGUGCGAGGGCGAUGAAGCUCUUGGCGGGAAAAUUGGAGGGAGUGGUUGGGGUGGAGGAGGCGGUGAUGUGCUUGGUGCUGACGAAUGCGGUGGAGGUGCAGGAUAAGGACGGGAGAAAUGUGGGGAUUGCGGUUUACGAUUGGAGGUUUUCGUGGAUUAAUCAUAGUUGUUCUCCCAACGCUUGUUUUCGGUUUGUAACGAGGAAGACCAUACCUCCUCAACAAGUGGUGGAGGGAGAAUCCCAGCUCCCGCGGUUGAGAAUUUACCCUGCUGCCAUGGACGGUGGAGCUGGUGAUGGACUUGCUGGUGAUUGCAAGAGUGAGUGAGUUUUUGAAUCGUUGUGCAUUUUCUUGAGUUGAAAUUUUUUUGUUUUGGUUGUUAUGAUGAACUGGUUGAUUGUUAUUUGUGUUGAAUAAUGUGCAGGCAGUGAGGGAUGUGGUCCGAGCAUCAUAGUCCGGAGCAUAAAAGGAAUUAAGAAGAAUGAGAGGAUCACAAUUACUUAUACUGAUUUGUUACAACCUAAGGUAAAACAGUUACUAACUACUUAAACCAGUGCGUUAUUCCAGUUUUCAACAGGUUAAAUUUAGCAUAGCUAGAAAUUUGGUGCUCCUGCAUUCCUAGAAUACUAAAAUUACCAAACUUCUAACAUAACAGAGUUGAAAAGGAAUGACACCAUCGCGGAAAGUGUUAUUCUGGUUAACGAUGGUUUUGUUUUGAUGCACGGCUUUCUUUUUCUUUGUUUGGUGGUGCUGGCUUUUUCAUCACAGUGUUUUUCUUUUUUGGGACUGAUCGGGCUGGAGUUGAAAUCAGAUACAGAUGUGGUUAAGUUUGGUGGCUAAGAAAUAUUCGUGCAGGAGUUAAAGGCAUAAUAGUCUCUUGUAUACUGUUUGUUCUGGCUUGAUGGUGCUGAUUUGAGUUAAUAAUGACUUUGUUGAUGAUGACACAUUUUUGCCCUCUGAACUGAUUAUAAUAUAGGAUCCAAAUAGUUGCUUUUAUCUUUAUAAUUUAUGUUUCACAUGGAAGGAUAUUCAAUCCUCAUCUUUGAUACAUGUCACUACUUUGUUGCAAUUCAGUCAAGUUUAUUCAUACUUGAACAAGGUGGCGUCCUGAAAAUAUUACAUCUAUUAGUUAUACAAUGUUUAUUGUCGCUUGACUAACUUGCAGUCUUGGCUGGUUAACUUGUGCAUUGAUCCAGCUCGAGUUAAGUACUUGGUUACUCAGCGUUUGCUCUGACAUAUAUUCUUCAGGAAAUGCGGCAGGCUGAAUUGUUUACAAAUUACCGGUUCAAUUGUUGCUGUAAGCGAUGUACUGCAACUCCUGCAACUUAUAUUGAUCGUGCUUUGCAGGUAUCUUCCCCUGUACUUGGUUUUCUAUUCUGUUAAACCUACAAGUCCAAUUUUAAGUUCCUUUAUCCUGUGUGUUUCUCUUCUUUACUGCUCAGUACUCCAGAACUAUGACCGUAUCUAUUAACUGUUCCUCCACAUAAAUUACUACUAGCAGUGAAAAUCACUGGAGUCAUUUCUUGCUGUAUGUGUACGUUUUAUCAUUGUUCCUCUUGAAAAGCACUGGUCACGUACAAUUCCAUUGUACUUUACCUGACUAGCUGCCUUAACCAUCUGACAUUAGCAUGUUUCUGUUCAAAGUAUAGACCAAAAGAAAGGAAUUCUGAAAUCUUGUAUGGUUCAAUUGUCAUGAAUGUGAAUUUUCAUGAACAGACAACGUGGUUUUAACUGCUUAUUUGCUUUCGCCUUUUGUGUAGGAAACUUUUGUUUCUGGUGUUGAUGGUCUCAACUUGACUUCCAAUGAAGACUCAUACAGAUCCAAGGCAACUACGAAAUUCAUGGAUUCAAUUGAUGGUGCUAUUGAUGAGUAUUUGACCUUUAACAAUCCCGAGUCAUGCUGUGAGAAGCUUGAGGAUUUGCUUACACAUGGGCACCUUCAGGAGCCACUGAAACCAAAGCCAGAAAAGUCACCUCAAUGCAUAAGGUUACACUUGUUUCAUUAUCAAUCUCUACAUGCAUACACCACACUUGCUUCAGCAUACAGAGUCCGUGCUAGUGACCUCUUGGCUCUUAAUCCUGAAAAUCAUCAGCAUCAAAUGGAAGCUUUCACUCUGAGCAGAAUAAGUGCAGCCUACUCCUUGUUGUUGGCUAUAGUUACGCAUCAUCUUUUUCUUUCUGAAUCUUCAAUAAUUGUCUGUGUUGCGAAUUUCUGGAAAAAUGCUGGGGAGUCCCUAGUUUAUCUCUUUAGAAGCUCAGCCUGGGGUACAUUUUCCAAUUUACAGCUAUCUGUUUCUGAAAAUUCAUCCAUUCUAAGCCAUAAACGCUAUCAGAUUGUCCAACUGGAUAGCAGUGGAGCCAAUUCUUUUAUUAAUACUGAAGAUCAAUUUGCAAUGUUUGGGGACAUAAGUAGGCAGCACAUAAAUGGUAUUGUCAACUUAACAGAGAAAAUUUGGAGCUUCCUUAGUCAUGAAAGUCGACAUCUGCAAGAAGUUAAAGAGCUCAUUGAUUUUAGAUGGCUUCUCACAGUGGAAACUCCCCUUGAUCUCGGAACUCGUCUUACUUGCCGGGAUAGCAGAACUGUUUCCAGACUUCAAGAAAAGGAGCAUACCAACCUAGAGAGAGCAUAUCUCUUUCAGCUUGGUCUCCACUGCCUGCAUUAUGCAACAUAUUUGUCAAACAUCUGUUAUGGCCUAAAUUCCCUGUUGACAGGUGAAGUUUGUCAAUCUUCUAUACUCUGAAGGUAUGUAUAGUGGCUGGUUAAUUCAACCAAUUUGCCUGCAAAUAUUAUGAAAUAGCGAUGUAAAAAGCUCAUCAGAUAGUGAUCAAAAGCUCAAUUCAUCACUCGUAUAUACCGUAUAGUUGAGUGUAUCUUUCCAGGAUUGAAUUCUCAUCGGAGGUCUUAAGUGGCAAUUUAUGCAUGCAGCCAUGCAGGGGCCAAUAUUAUCGUCCUCUUUCCUUUUGUUAUUCUUUGGGCCAUUAUCCCAGAAAUAAGCAUUUGAUGAGUUAAUUUUGGUGUACUGAAUUAAAUUAGAGUGAACUUUUGGGCCAAAUCAGGCUCCAAUUUCAAAUGUGGGUGCUCUUAUUGGGCCUCAAGAGAUUGGAUAAAGCCUGCCCACCUGACACCUAAGUAUCAAGUCAAAUGACCUAAACAAUACAUUGCAAACAAUCUAACAUCUGUUCUCUGGACUCUAGUACUUUUAUUUGUUUAUUUUUUUUUGUCUUCAUAUUAUACCCUUUUUGCCUUUAUAUUGUCAGAUUCAGAAUUCGAAAUCUGAACAUCAUAAUUAAAAGAAUGCUAAGAGCCUUUUUUGACAAACUUUUAUUUAUUUAUUUAUUUACAUCUUCUCAUUCUUGUUCAUACCUUUUUCUCGCCUUUAUAUUAUAUCCUUUUCUCCUCCAUAUCGAGAGACUCAAAAUUCGAAAUCUGAAACUCAUAAUUGAAAGGACGUCAAGAGCCUUUUUUGACAAUUAAACGAACCCUAAUGGUUUUAGUACCCAUUUAAAAUAGUUUGUCAAUUUGUUGUUGUAGAGAGCUACAAUGACUUUAUGAAGGUGAAGUAAGCAUUAAGUUUGACGGUGAUGAAUUUUACCUUUUCUUUUUCCCUUUCUUUUUGGUAGUAUGAUAUUAACUCAACAUUAUAAGAUUUUCAUGGGGGGCAUAAAGAUUAAAGAGUCAUGAAAUCUGUGAUUUCAUUUUCCAAGUGUGAAUAUUAGGUGGAUGGACAAAUCAACCUUCUUUUUUCCAUUCUUGGGGGCAGAAUUUCUUCUGCCACAGAUGUUGCCUAUCCAUAUCACGAUAAUGUACUCUUCUUGAGCGAGUAAAUUAAUUUGGUCCCCAAAUGAAAAUUUAGUUGGCCCAUCUCACCGACCACCACGUUUCCUUAACAACAAAGAAAAGGAAAUAUACAAAUGGAAAAUCUGAAUCUAAACCUCCCCAGAUAACAACACUCAAGUAUGUGAACUCCUCACCGGCCAGUUGAAAUCUGAUCCAGAAAAAAAAAAACCCACGAGGAAAAAGAUUAAAUGAAUUUAGUUAUUGGAAACCACCUUAGAAAAUGAAAUUAAAGAAAUGCUUAGGCUCAAUGUAUCUGCCAAAAUGAAGCAAUAAAUGGUCAUGUCAGAAGAUGGAUAGCCAAUGCAUUUGAAUCAUUCAUGCAUCCAUCUUCCAACUUUGCUUAAAACUGUGAACAAAGGGGUGGCUAGAGCUGUUAAACCAAUCAAGUAGCUCGAAAUCUCGUUAGAGCUCGGCUCGUUAAGGUUUAACGAGUCGAGCUCGAGCUCGAAACAUGCUCGUUUAGUUAACGAGCCGAGUAAGCUCGGCUCGUUUGAUACUCGAGUAGCUCGUUAGAGCUCGUUAAUGAAGGGCAUAUUUGUCAUUUUAGAAAUCAAAAUUAUAUAAAUUAAAAAUUAUAGAUUUUUAUUAAUGUUUAUUUGCACGAGCUCGAGCUCGAGCUCGUGAAGCUCGAUUCGUUUGUGAUAAACGAGUCGAGCUCGAGAACUCGAACCACAUGUACAUUUAACGAGCCGAGUUCGAACACAUUUUAAAGUUCGUUUUCUUAACGAGCUCGAGUCGAGCUCGGCUCGAAUUAAACUCGAGUCGAGCUCGGCAGCCAAAUACUCGGCUCGAUUAACAGCUCUAGGGGUGGCAAACAACAUCAUAUCCAUGUGGUGGAGGGCCAUAUCUGUGAAUUGACCCUUCCAAACAGGCGUUAGAGCACAAUUGGUCAGAGAGGAGAAACUUGAAGGUGCUUAUGGCUAUGAGUUACAUCUGUAAAGUAAUAUCAACAUUAAUCGUCCAUUUGUAUCAAUAAUGGAUCAAUUGAAAAAAAUAACGCAAGUUGCAUCCUGUAUAGUUUGUUUGGGGAUGGGGUCUAUGUCAAUGAAUUGGAUGAAAGGAGAAGAAACUUCAAACUAUGAAUUUAUAAUUAGUGAUUGAGCUUAAUACUUCAACCCAACCAUACCAAACUUCUUGGUUAUUGGAGAACCAAAUUAUUUAAUAGUCGUUAGGUGGGGAAAAAAAAAAAGAAUUGCUUAAACAAUCUAGAAUACUUCUUUUUUUGGUAAAUAUCUAGAAAAUAUCUCUUUGGCUGAAGAUCACUAGUUGUUAUCUUGACCAAGAAAUACUGGUAGACCAUUUAACUUUCAAAAUGUUGAUUAUUGAUCACUAAGAUAUGUUUCAACCGCUUAAUCAUGAUUUGAUAGAGUUUUAAUUUCCCACUAUCCCUUGUCAAUCAGCAAAAUUGUGUUUGAUGACACGACUAAUUACCCUUCCAUAUAUAUAUAUAUAUAUCCUCCUUAAUGGUCCCAAAAAAUUAAACAGCUCUGAUAUCCCCCCAAAAAAAAAGACAGAGUUAAAAUCCAAAUUCACCUAAUUCAACGCAUUGAAAAUUUGUGGAAAUGAAUUUAAACCUCCUUUUUCUAUCAAUUUUUUUUUCAACGCCCGUUAAUCACGCUCCUAACACCAUCCAAUAAUUAAGAUUUCUAGCCGAUUACUACUAAAUCAUCGCCUAUAGGCUAUAAACAGCCUCCAGUCAACAAACAAACAAUCACCACCACUCAGAUCAGAUAUUUUUCAUAAGUUGUCCUAUUGUCAGUUUUACACCACUAAGAUCAUCAUGGCUGGAGAGAAGCACCGCCACCACCUCGUCCACCACCACAAGGAAGAGAAGCCUGUCGAGAGAAGCACCACUAAGACCAUCAUGGCUGAAGAGAAGCGCCACCACUACCACCACAAGGAAGAGAAGCACCACCACCACCUCGUCCACCACCACAAGGAAGAGAGAAGCACCACUAAGACCAUCAUGGUUGAAGAGAGAAGCACCACUAAGACCAUCAUGGUUGAAGAGAAGCACCACCACCACCUCGUCCACCACCACAAGGAAGAGAAGCACCACCACCACCUUGUCCACCACCACAAGGAAGAGAAGAAGCACCAGCACCACCUCGUCCAGCACCAGCACCAGCACCAGCACCACCUCGUCCAGCACCACCACCACCACCACCACCACCACCACAAGGAAGAGAAGCACCACCACCACAAGCCUGUCGAGAGAAGCACCACUAAGACCAUCAUGGCUGAAGAGAAGCACCGCCACCACCUCGUCCACCACCACAAGGAAGAGAAGCACCGCCACCACAAGCCAUAAUAAAAGGCAUAAUAGUCUCUUGUAUACUGUUUGUUCUGGCUUGAUGGUGCUGAUUUGAGUUAAAAAAGAUAAUGACUAUGUUGAUGAUGACACAUUUUCUGCCUUGGGAACCAAUUAUAAUAUAGGAUCCGAAUAGUUGCUUUUAUCUUUAUAAUUUAUGUUUCACAUGGAAAGAUAUUCAAUUCUCAUCUUUGAUACAUGUCACUACUUUGUUGCAAUUCAGUCAAGUUUAUUCAUACUUGAACAAGGCGGUGUCCUGAAAAUAUGACAUCUAUUAGUUAUACAAUGUUUAUUGUUGCUUGACUAACUUGCAGUCUUGGGUGGUUAACUUGUGCAUUGAUCCAGCUUGAGUUAAGUACUUGGUUACUCAGCGUUUGCUCUGACAUAUAUUCUUCAGUAAAUGCGGCAGGCUGAAUUGUUUACAAAUUACCGGUUCAAUUGUUGCUGUGUAAGCGAUGUACUGCAACUCCUGCAACUUAUAUUGAUCGUGCUUUGCUGGUAUCGUCCCCUGUACUUGCUUGUCCUUGGUUUUCUAUUCUGUUAAACCUACAACUCCAAUUUUAAGUUCCUUUAUCCUGUGUGUUUCUCUUCUUUGCUGCUCAGUACUCCAGAACUAUGACCGUAUCCAUUAACCGUCCCUCCUCAUAAAUUACUACUAGCAGUGAAAAUCACUGGAGUCAUUUCUUGCUGCACUCUUGAAAAGCACUGUCAUGUACAAUUCCAUUGUACUUUACCUGACUUGCUGCCUUAACCAUCUGACAUUAGCAUGUUUCCGCUCAAAGUAUAGACCAAAAGAAAGGAAUUCUGAAAUCUUCUAUGGUUCAAUUGUCAUGAAUGUGAGUUUUCAUGAACAGACAACGUGGCUUUAACUGCUUAUUUGCUUUUGCCUUUUUGUGUAGGAAACUUUUGUUUCUGGUGUUGAUGGUCUCAACUUAACUUCCAAUGAAGACUCGUACAAAUCCAAGGCAACUACGAAAUUCAUGGAUUCAAUUGAUGGUGCUAUUGAUGAGUAUUUGACCUUUAACAAUCCCGAGUCAUGCUGUGAGAAGCUUGAGGAUUUGCUUACACAUGGGCACCUUCAGGGGCCACUGAGACCAAAGCCAGAAAAGUCACCUCAAUGCAUAAGGUUACACUUGUUUCAUCAUCAAUCUCUACAUGCAUACACCACACUUGCUUCAGCAUACAGAGUCCGUGCUAGUGACCUCUUGGCUCUUAAUUCUGAAAAUCAUCAGCAUCAUAUGGAAGCUUUCACUCUGAGCAGAAUAAGUGCAGCCUACUCCUUGUUGUUGGCUAUAGUUACGCAUCAUCUUUUUCUUUCUGAAUCUUCAAUAAUUGUCUGUGUUGCGAAUUUCUGGAAAAAUGCCGGGGAGUCCCUAGUUUAUCUCUUUAGAAGCUCAGCCUGGGUUACAUUUUCCAGUUUGCACCAAUCUGUUUCUGAAAAUUCAUCCAUUCUAAGCCAUAAAUGCUGAAGAUCAAUUCUUUUAUUAAUACUGAAGAUCAAUAUGCAAUGUUUGGGGACAUAAGCAGGCAGCACAUAAAUUGUAUUGUCAACAUAACAGAAAAAGUAUGGAGCUUCCUUAGUCAUGAAAGUCGACAUCUGCAAGAAGUUAAAGAGCUCAUUGAUUUUUGAUGGCUUCUCACAGUGGAAACUCCCCUUGAUCUCGGAACUCGUAUUACUUGCCGGGAUAGCAGAACUGUUUCCAGACUUCAAAAAAAGGAGCAUGCCAACCUAGAGAGAGCAUAUCUCUUUCAGCUUGGUCUCCACUGCUUACACUAUGCAACAUACCUGUCAAGCAUCUGUUAUGGCCUAAAUUCCCUGUUGAUAGGUGAAGUUUGUCAAUCUUCUAUACUCUGAAGGUAUGUAUAGUGGCUGGUUAGUUCAACCAAUUUGGCUGAAAAUAUUAUCAAAAAAUAGCGAUGUGAAAAGGUCAUCAAAUAGAUGGUGAUCAAAAAGCUCAGUUCAUCACUCGUAUAUACCGUAUAGUUGAGUGUAUCUUUCCAGGAUUGAAUUCUCAUAGAUGGUGAUCAAAAAGCUCAAUUCAUCACUCGUAAUGCAUGCAAGCAGGAGCCCAAUAUUUCGUCCUCUUUCCAUUUGUUUUUUUUGGGCCACAGUCCUAGAAAUAAGCAUUUCAUGAGUUAAUUUUGGUCUACUGAAUUGAAUAAGAGUGAACUUUUGGGCCAAAUCAGGCUCCAAUUUCAAAUGUGGGUGCUGUUAUUGGGCCUCAAGAGAUUGGAUAAAGCCUGCCCACCUGACACCUAAGUAUCAAGGUCAAAUGACCUCAAACAAUCUAAUAUCCGUUCGCCAGUACUUUUAUUUGUUUAUUUUUUCUUGCCUUCAUAUUACACCCUUCUCGCCUUUAUAUUGUCUGAUUCAGAAUUCAAAAUCUGAAUCUCAUAAUUGAAAGGACGCUAAGAGCUUUUUUUUGACAAAUUUUUAUUUAUUUAUUUAUUACAUUCUUUCAUUCCUGUUCAUACCUUUUUCUUGCAGUCAUAUUAUACCCUUUUCUCCUUUGUACCGAGAGACUCAGAAUUCGAAAUCUGAACCUCAUAAUUGAAAGGACGUUAAGAGCCUAUUUUGACAACUGAACAAACCCUAAUAGUUUUAGUACUUACUUAAAAGAGUUUGUCAAUUUGUUGUUGUAGAGAGCUACAAUGACUUUAUGAAGGUAAAGUGGACAUUAAGUUUGGGCAGUGUCGAAUUUUACCUUUUCUUUUUCCCUUUCUUUUUGGUAGUAUGAUAUUAACUCGACAUUAUAAGAUUUUCAUGGGGGGUGGUUUGAAGUCUCCAUUUUGUUGCAACUAUUCAAAGAGUCAUGAAAUCUGUGAUUUCAUUUUCCAAGUGUGAAUAUUAGGUGGAUGGACAAAUCAACCUUCUUUUUUCCAUUCUUGGGGCAGAAUUUCUUCUCCCACGGAUGUUUCCUAUCCAUAUCACGAUAAUGUACUCUUCUUGAGCGAGUAAAUUAAUUGGUCCCCAAAUGGAAAUUUAGUUGGCACGUCUCACCGACCACGUUUCCUUAACAGCGAAGAAAAGGAAAUAUACAAAUGGAAAAUAAUCUGAAUCUAAACCACCCCAGAUAUCAACAUUCAAGUGGUGGAUAGUCAAUGCAUUUGGAUCAUUCAUGCAUCCAUCUUCCAACUUUGCUUAAAAUUGUGAACAAAGGGGUGGCAAACAACAUCAUAUCCAUGUGGUGGAGGCCAUACCUGUGAAUUGACCCUUCCAAACAGGCGUUAGAGCACAAUUGGUCAGAGAGGAGAAACUUGAAGGUGCAUAUGGCUAUGAGUUACAUCUGUAAAGUAAUAUCAACAUUAAUCGUCCAUUUGUAUCAAUCAUGGAUCAAUUGACAAAAAAAAACCCAAGUUGCAUCCUGUAUAGUUUGUCUGGGGAUGGGGUCUAUGUCAAUGAAUUGGAUGAAAGGAGAAGAAACUUCAAACUAUGAAUUUAUAAUUAGUGAUUGAGCUUAAUUCUUCAACCCAACCACACCAAACUUCUUGGUUAUUGGAGAACCAAAUCAUAUAUAUAUAUAUAUAAUAAAGUCGUAUCCUCAUUUAUCGUUUCAUGUUUUCUUUUUCUUAUGUGGCUUAACGAGAUAGCAAGUAAUUUUCUACGUGGCUUGCUUCUUUUUUGUUUGGAUUUAUAUCAAUUCUUAUUUCCUAUAUUAUAUGAUUGGUCCGAUAAAAUAUAUCAAUUCUUAGUCCGAUAAAAAUUGUUAGUCCGAUAAAAAUUGUGAUACAAAAUGGAUCAAUUGGAAAAAAAACCCCAAGUUGCAUCCUGUAUAGUUUGUCUGGGGAUGGGGUCUAUGUCAAUGAAUUGGAUGAAAGGAGAAGAAACUUCAAACUAUGAAUUUAUAAUUAGUGAUUGAGCUUAAUACUUCAACCCAACCAUACCAAACUUCUUGGUUAUUGGAGAACCAAAUUAUUUAAUAGUCGUAAGGUGGGAAAAAAAAAAGAAUUGCUUAAACAAUCUAGAAUACUUCUUUUUUUGGUAAAUAUCUAGAAAAUAUCUCUUUGGCUAUCUUGACCAAGAAAUACUGGUAGACCAUUUAACUUUCAAAAUGUUGAUUAUUGAUCACUAAGAUAUGUUUCAACCGCUUAAUCAUGAUUUAAUAGAGUUUUAAUUUCCCACUAUCCCUUGUCAAUCAGCAAAAUUGUGUUUGAUGACACGACUAAUUACCCUUCCAUAUAUAUAUAUAUAUAUCCUCCUUUUUCUAUCAAUUUUUUUUUUCAACGCCCGUUAAUCACGCUCCUAACACUAUCCAAUAACUAAGAUUUCUAGCCGAUUACUACUAAAUCAUCGCCUGUAGGCUAUAAAUAGCCUCCUCUCCACAAUCCAACAAACAGAAAAUUACCACCACUCAGAUCAGAUAUUUUUCAUAAGUUGUCCUAUUAUCAGUUUUACACCACUAAGACUAUCAUGGCUGAAGCCUUCCACCACCACAACCCCUUCCACCACCACAAGGAACAGACGGCUGCCGAAGCCGUUGGCUACUCCGACACCACCUACUCUGGAGGCUACGGUGGAGAGCCAGCACAUGAUUAUGAGAAAGAAA